rnacentral:lncRNA from 1 species
AACUAAUAUGAAUACCCAAUAAGAGUCGCAGAAAUGCAAAAAAAAAACAAAUAGGAGGUUCAUUGUCGCCAAGCACUUAAAGUAUGUAAAUCCAAGAAAAAAUCAUAACCACAUAGUGUAAAAGCAACUAAUGCAUCGUUGAAGAAUACUAACCGUUUUACAGCACAAUAACAAAAGAAGAUUGAACUUUCAAGAGUAGAUAAGAAGUCGUACGAGCAAACAAGAAUUAGCGAUCUCAUAGUAGAAGCAGCAAGCAAAAUUUAGCACUAAGUGUAGUGUAGAAUAUUGUAGAAGUCAGAGUAGGAGUGUAUGAUAAGAGGUCUGACAAUUGAAAGAGAAGGAUGUUUAUAUAGCAAAAGAGUAGAGAAAAUAAAAGGAAAGAGAAUAUUUGCAAAUUCAAUCAAAUCAACUAAAACAAAUAAACUGCACAUAUUUUACCUGAAUAAACAAGUCAAAAUAUUAUUCGAUCUUCAAGAGGCCGUAAAAAUAGGGAUACCAAUGGAUACUUCCCAUGUAAAGAAACAUAAUCACAUCAAAUUAGCACAGAAUAGAUCCAAUUAUAAUUGGGGGUAAACAUCUAUUUGGAUCAAAAAUCCACAUGCUUAAAAAGCAAAAAACAUAAUACACCCAAAGAACUACUAUACUACUGUAAUUACGCUAGUAAUCCAAUCAACUGGCUCAAAUUUUUGGAGUCAACAUUAUGACAGUACACAAUAAAAUUGCAUUCCUAAAAUAAAAUCUAGGAUUGACGAAAAAUUCAAAAUUAGUCAUUUUACAUAAAACAAAUGUGAAACCAGAAAAACAGACCAACAAUAUAACCACAAAUUUUAAGUUUAAAGAAAAGGGGAGCAGAAUAGAAUUAUAAUUGCAUGUAAAAAAUUAACUAUGAAAUUCAACCUAGGAUGGGUUCCUAAGAACCCAUCAUUUUUUCGGUGAGAUGUGGUGGCAGUGUCAUGGGAUGCAUGGAGACACAGCAACGGCGGCUGCAAUAAGAAGGCGGGCCGGUUCGUCGGUAGCUGCUGGUUUGCAUGGCUGGUUUAAGGCGGACACGUCAGUGGCUGGAGCAGAGCUCUUUGGUGGCUUUUGAUGCAGGCAACGGCGAUAGUGAGGUCCGACUAUCGUUAACAGUGCUUCGCCGGUCAUCACAUCUGGUGAAGCAGCAAUGAUGAGAGGCAGCAUUGAUCGAAGGUACGGUAGGAUGGCUGGCUCGCUGGUGAGCUACCAUUAUUUUUCCCAGCUGUGGAGAUGCAUCGGAUCUGGGCGACUAUGGCACUGGGCCUUCAUCGGUGUCGGCUGGUGUUGUUGCCCAUUUAACGGUGCUUAGUCGUCGGAGAGAAAAAUUGAGCAGAGGGGGUUUGGGUUGUGGGCGAACGCCGGUGGCGGAUGGACGGUGGCAGUUGGUGAGUUCUAGAAAGAAGGAGGAGAGAUAGAGAGAGAAAGUGGGGAUGGUGUGCGGUUGAUUUGGUGGAAUGAGUCUAGGGUUAGGGUUUUGAUUUUUUAAAAGGAAAGAAGGAGAUCGUUUGAUCUCAGUCGUUGGAUCAGUUUUGAUCGAAGGCUGAUAUUUAAUGGUUGAGGAAUUGGUCAAAAUUUAAAAAUAAUUUAAAAUUAAGUCCUAAAUUGACUAUAAUUGUAAUAAAUGGCUGAAAUUGGAAUGUCUUGGGUAAAAAAUGGACUAAAAGAUAAAUAAAUCAGGAAAAUUAAUUUAACUUUAGGCUGUUAUUUAAAUAAUAGUAGGGAUAAUAAUAGUAAAUAAUAUAUAAUAAUAAUAAUAAAUAAUAAAUAAUACUAAUAUUAAUAAUAAUAAAUGUUAUAAAAAAUGAUGUAUUUGGAAAUUGAGAGUAUGCCUAUUUAUGAAAAUAAUUAUCUAAAAUUAUGUCGAGAAAUAUUAUAUUUAAAUUAAUGAAUGAUACUGUAAGGUGGUAAAAUAAUUUGUAUAUUUUAAAAUCGUGAAUGGACACAUCAAAAUCUGUUUGACACAAGAAAACUGUGUAAAAGUAUCAACAUUUAAAAUUGGUAAAUUUUGUUAAAAUAACAUCCUAAAAUAAGUAUCAGGAGGUACAAAAUUAGGUGUUAAUAGCUGCCCCUUCGUUUCUUGGGAAUGAUAAAAGAAUUGUCAAGCAACAAAAGUUGAUGUGGUAGCCAAUUUUAUCCGACCGAGGAAGAUUCUUUGGAGUUAAAACAAUAGGAGGUGAUUUUAAAAAUAAUAUGGCUGAGACUUCGAUUUCAAGUCGCCUACAUAUCUCUGGUUUUAUGAGAAUCAGGCCGUUUGUAGUUCUAGAUUUAGGAAUGAACAAUAUUUCUAAAGAAUGUCAAUGAUAAAGGAUGGGCAUUCAAUAAAGGUGUUGUAGGUCGGUCAAUGAGACGGAAUUGAAUGGGAUUUGGAAUAGUGGCGUAUGGAGAAGUUUGAAAAUAUUGAGGUAGGUGAGGUGAUGGAUAAAUAGAUGGAGUAAUAUUUUAGAAACAAAAACUAAAAUUGUCUUUGUUUGUUAUUCCUUCUUUGUUACCUGCAUAUUUACACCGUACUAAAUAAAAAAGGUUAGACAUGUAAGAAAUAAACAUUUGAUAAAUAUAAAGUAAAGGUGGAGACAAGAAAGAUAUCUGUUGUAUUGUGGGAUCAGCGAUUUGGCUUCUCAAUGUACUGUGGAAUCAUGGGAUCAGUUGUUUGUCUUCUCAUUGUGGAGUAAUCUGUACCUAUUAGUCCUAUCACUCUUAGCUCAAUUGGAUAAAAUGGUUAGCAUGGAUAUAUAUGUAUGUAUAGAAGAUUUGAUCAAUAUAGUGAAAACAACCAAAACAAUAAUGAUAAGAAGAGAUAAGAAAGUGUAUCUGUCAUGAGAGAGUAAUGCUUUGUUCAUAUAAAAAUUUAAAGAGGUCGUGCUUAAUCCACACUAUAUCUAGUAAACCAAUAGCAUUUAAUAACACUGAGGCAGUUAUGCUUAGCAUGUUCAGCAGUAGAAAAUAAUAUUCAUUUUUUAGUAACCCAAUUGACUUUCAGAGGACAAUGCUUAGCCUCAGGCAGUUUCUCAAAUUUACAAAACAAUGCUUAGCUUCGAAUAAUUUCUCGAGAGAGGGUAAUGCUUAACCCAACUAAAUUUCAAGGACUAUGCUUAGCCUCAUUCAGUUUCUCAAAAAACAGUAGUGCUUAACCCACUUAACUUUCCAAGGACAAUGCUUAGACUUAGAGAGUUUUUGAUAGAGUAGUGCUUAACUCCAUCAAAUUUCUAAAACAAUGCUUAGUUCGGAUGAUUUCAUGAGAGAGAAGUGGUGCUUAACCCGACUAACUUUCAAGACAAUGUUUAGCCUUAGUCAGUUUCUCGAAAAAGGGCAGUGCUUAAACCACUUAAAUUUCUAAGGACAGUGCUUAGCCUUAGAGAGUUUUUGAUAGAGUAGUGCUUAACUCUAUCAAGUUUCCUAAAAAAUGAUUAGUUUGGAUGAUUUCUCGAGAGAGGGUAGUGCUUAACCCAACUAACUUUCAAGGACAAUGCUUAGCCUCAGUCAGUUUCUCGAAAAAGGGUAGUGCUUAACCCACUUAACUUUCCAAGGAAAAUGCUUAGCCUUAGAGAUUUUUUGACAGAGUCGUUCUUAACUCCAUCAAAUUUCUGAAACAAUGCUUAGCUUUGGAUGAUUUCUCGAGAGAGAGCAGUGCUUAACCCAACUAACUUUCAAGGACAAUGCUUAGCCUCAGUCAGUUUCUUGAAAGAGGGUAGUGCUUAACCCACUUAACUUUCGACGGACAAUGCUUAGCCUUAGAGAGUUUAUGAUAGAGUCGUGCUGAACUCCAUCGAAUUUUCAAAACAAUGCUUAGCUUUGGACAAUUUCUCGAGAGAAGGUAAUGCUUAACCCAACUAACUUUCAAGGACAAUGCUUAGCCUCAGUCAGUUUCUCGAAAGAGGGUAGUGCUAAACCCACUUAACCUUCCAAGGACAAUGCUUAGCCUUAGGGAGUUCUUGAUAGAAUCAUUCUUAACUACAUCGAAUUUCCAAAAUAAUGUUUAGUUCAAAUAAACUUAUUGAGAGAGGGUAGUACUUAACCCAAUUAACUUUUCAAGAACAAUGCUUAGCCUCAAGAAGUUUAUCUCGAGAGGGUAGUGAUUAACCCACUCAGAACAUAGGAUGAUAAUAAUUAACCUUAUAUUUUGUGAUGGUGUAUGAAAUGCUUGAGAUUUUUACCCGUCACUCUAUACCUACACUCAAAGAAAUAUUGUUAGUUUUAAAAAAGGAAAAAGAUUGAUUCGUGUCUCUGUCAAUUCCUUUGCCCAGGUCCUGAAUCCAUUGUCUUUAUAUCGCUUUCUUGAGAUGCAAUCCUUGAUGAAAAUUUGAGGAUCCUCAAAAAUUUCUGCCCCGGUUUCAUGGCCUCAAUCUUUCUAGCCUUGAAUUUGUUAAAAUGUUUCUUGAUAGAAUUUUUGAGACCCUCUCAAAAAUUCUUCCCCAGUUACAUGUCUCGUCCGUCUUAAACUUGUAGAAUCAUAGAAUUUUUGAAAUCCUUUCAAAAAUUUUGCCCCAGUUACUUGCUUCAGGAAAAUAUGAAAGUUUCAUUGUGAUGAGACCGAACUCAAUAGGAGCGCCUGCGUAUCCCUCUUAAAUGGGAAUCAAGUCAAAUGUAGUUCAAAGUACAUAGGAGAAAUUCGUAUUGUUCCAAGCAUGUGUAAAGAUUAUAGUAACCCAAGUACUUGAGAUACUGAAAUGAGAAGACGACGUGAUAUCCCUUCCUUAAUGUUAGAGACGCCAGUUCUUAAUCAACAUCAAGAUAUGGCCCCAUCACAUUUAUCGCUUUGGUAUCAAUCAGUGCUUGAAUUUUGUCCUUUAAAACACGCCAUUCUUCAGUGGUGUAGCUUGUCAUCCUUGAAUGAUAAGCACAAACUUUGAAAUAAUCAAUCCAUUUAGCAUAUGUAUUCAUUACAAUUGCAGAAAUUGAAGUAAUGUAGCCAUCAACCCUUAAUCUCUCAUAAAGUUGGUCUAUAGGCUCAGCCAAAGGAGUGUACUGUCUUGAUAAUUUUUUUAAAGCUUGGCUUAAGGUAUGAUAAAUUGAUUGGGUCGUAGAUUUGUUGGUGCAUAAGCUAAUGGUUGUUAGAAAGUAGUUGAAAGAAUUUGUGAGCACGCAGGUAGUGCGAGAUAGUUGGUAGGACUAUAAGAUAGUAUGGGGUAAUUCUAUGUCGUUGCGGGGAAUGAAGGUGCUUGAUAUAUGGGUGUUUGGUAUUGAAGCGGAGGAGGUGGUGUUUGGUUUUUGGGAUUUUGAGUAGUCAAGAUAGUAUUUACUUCCUUCAUGUUAUUAUUCUCAUCAGCCUGUAAAGUCUUAAUCGCUUGCAGUGCCUCCAAAUUCGUUAUCAUGCCAUUUUAAUGACUUCUUCAAUUCUCUCGCCCAAUUUGAUGAUGUCAACAAGCUUUUGAUCCUCUAUAAGAAUCAUCCUUUCAUAAUAUUGUGGCUCUUGGGAACGUAUGAAAAAUUCUUUCAUUUGACCUUCCUCUAAAGGAGGAUGCACCUUACAAGCUUCACGUAUCCACCUCAAUCCAUAUACUCAACACGAUUUUGUAGGUUUCUUCUUUAACUUCUGAAUGUAGAACGAAUCAGGCACAUUCUAAAUACUAAACCCAAAUCUUUCUAUAAAAGCCGAGGCUAUGUCGAUCCAUUUCGACCAUUUUGUUGCAUCUUGUGGACAUACCAUGACAAAGCAUCUUCAGUGAGACUUUUAUGAAUAAUUUCCUAAGAAUCUACUCGUUUUUUCCAACUCUAACUAGCUUGUAGUAGUAUAGUUUCAAAUGGACUUUCAAAUCUCCAGUCCCAUUGUACAUUUCAAAUUUAGAAGGUUUGUAACUCCUGGCAGUUCAACGUCAGGGUGCACGCAUGGGUCCUCAUAACUUAGCCCUUUCAACUCUUUAUUACCUUCAAGUUGUUCCAAUCUUUCAACCACGGAUUGCAUAAGGGCAGCAUUUUCUAAAGGUUUGGAUUUAUAUUGGUGGUAGGUAAAUAGGGUCGUUUUGUCAUAACUCAAAUGUAAAGUAUGGCUGCUUGGAUCAUGAAAAUGAGGCAUAUUUGUGGUAAAUGUUGGCGGCAUAUUAUGGACAUAUGAUGAUAUUUGCAAAUUUAGUAGGACUGGAUAUGUGUGGUAUUGUGGUAGACAAGAAUGUGGAUAUGAGUUAUGUUUAGGAAGCGUGUAUAUGUGAUUUGAAUUGUUUGGGGGUUGUGAAAUAGGAAGUGAUGGUAAGGGAUGACUUGUGAAGAUGGGAUGGGAUUUAAUAGUUGUGUUACCCUCAAUUUGUGGUUUGAGAGGAGAAUUCAAAGCAAGGGGUAGAUUAGAUAAGUUACGGGCUUGUGACAAUUUCCUUUGUAGUUGAAGGAUUCUUUGCUCUAUUUGUAAGAUCAUCUCAUUAUGCUCAUUUCUAGCAUCGUUGUUAUCACCCAUUUCAUUGUUUUGGUGACUAAGCUUUAAGAGAAGGAGACUGAGCCUUGAUGGGCGAGAUAAUGCACGAAUCAAUCCUUUGGGCGUGAAAGAAAAAAUAAAUAAAAUUAAAAUUAAAAAGAAGAAAGAAAAAAAAGUUAAGUUAGUAAGAUAUGUAGUGAAAAAAUAAACAUGUUAAUAUGCCAGAAUAAAAUGUUUUAUAAUGUACGGAGCCUUAUUAAGUCCGAAGUAGGUCGAGAAUGACAAAUAUAUAUGACUUACGAUAUUAUAAUCCAAGUCUGACGUAAAAGAAGUUUGGAAUUAGAAAUUCCUAACCACAUUUGCUCAAUCUUUGGUUCAGAUUACUUUAUCACGAUCACAAGAAGCAUAGCAUGAAUAUUUAUUGUUGGUAGGAUAAGGCGAGAAUAAAGAAAUAAAUUUCAAAUAGUGUUUCUCCUUGGGCGAGAAGAAAAAUGAUGAAAUUUUUUUGCAUGUUUGUCAUAACGCAGAUUUUCAAAUGAAUCGAUGUUUGAAAAAUAGCAAUUUGAACAAAACAGGAGCGAGUGUACCUAGUAAGAGAAGAGAUAGUAUGAUAAUAUGAGUCAUUUUGUCAAAGAGGACUUUAGGACGAAUGGGUGGGUUGGGAUUUAAGCUUUAGAAGUGAAUUGAUGUUAAAAGACAAAAGAUAAAUGAUAAACAAGACUUAGGUACUGUGCAUACUUGGAGUUGAUGGGGUGAACAAGUAAAUAAUGAUAAGAUAUUAAAAGAUGCACGUAGAAUGUUGAAGGCAUUUUAUUUUGAAAAGAGGGGAAGAUUGAAGAUUUAAAAAUUUUGACGUAUUUUGUUUGAAAUAUUUUGAGAAUUUGAAAGAUUGUAAAAGGUCGUUGGAAUAAAAAGCUUCUAAUUCUCACCCUUAUGACAUUAUGGAAUGGUGGUGAAAGAUAUAGAGAAUAUGAUUUGAUAGAAAAAACUACUGGACUGAUCACAUUUUCAAAAAUUAGGACGUUUUGUAAAAUGGAGGGAAAAGAAAGACCGUAUCCUUAUAAAGGAUUGCCUACAUAUCUUGUUGGAACAAGAAUCAGGUCAGACGUAAAUCAAAAUUUUGAGAGUUAUAUAAGUUGAAUAACAAGUGAGGAUGUUGGAGGAUUUUGAAUAGGCCCUAAGAGUGUAUUGUAGGGUCCUAACAUUGUACGAACUUUAAGAGUAAAGAGCUCUAAAGUGAGGCACACUAAAUGUAAGGAGUGACUAAGGCAAUAACGGAAACAACAAGAUAAGUAGGAUGUCAAUACAUACAUAGAAAUGCAGAACAUAACAAAUAAUUUUGAGUCCCUUUGAGGUCGUGAACCUCUUUGAACUUUGAAUGAGACUAACAUUCAAUGCGUCAAGGAUGCCAAGGCAUCCUACGUUGAAUGGGACGCAUAUUCCUUAAUAAAAGAAAUAUGUAGCUAAAACCUAAAGGGCAAGAGUGGGUUAAUGACAUAGUUCCCUCGAGUGGACAACUCGAGAGUGGGAAAACUUGUGGUUGUCAACGCACGGCUGAUUGACCGAUCCAUAAGGCAUUUCUCGAAGGGUGUUUUAGGAAAGAACGUCCGUGCAACCACGCAAUUGUUCGUACAAAAAAAAUAAAGGAGAUCCCAAGUGGAGGAAAGUAUGAGCGGGAUACCAAUUAUAUAAAGCAGUAAGAAUAGCACAUAGAAACAUAUAAUAACAUGCUUUAGUAAUAAAAAAAAUAAACAUUAAAACACAUAUCCAAUAAAAGAAAAGUAGACAUGGAGAAAUAUUAAUAACACAAAAAGGAAAAAGGAGAAAGGACUAAUAAAUCAUGAUGUAAGUAAACGAUAAAAGAAGAACAUAUAAAAAAUAAAUUAAGAUGUCAAACAUCAUCAAAACAAAAGGAGAGAAUCCUACAUGAAGCACAAAUUUGUAAUGGUUAGAACUUAAAAUCCCCAGCAGAGUCGCCAUUCUGUCGCGCCCCAUUUUCCUUGCAAAAAGCGAGAUUCGACGUGACCACUCUUUUUGGAAUUAUUUCGAGAGGAGAGUGAAGAGUCGCCACCUAACUAAUUAAGGUGUGUUAGGGCACCAGUCUAAGCCAACUACAAACCUUUUUUAUUGUUUUGUCUUAGCUCACAAGAAAUUUGGUUAAGAGUUCAAAUUACAUCAAAAGAAAGUGUUAGGCACCUUUUGAGGUCCACGAAGGUAGUUUCCGACCGAAUUCAUAUUUUACGUGGGUAUUCUACGUGCUCAAAUAAGGUCGCUUAUUUCAUUAUUAAUUGAUGCUAACUAAGUGAUAAAAUAGUAAAUAAGUAAACAUGUUAUUUAAUUAUUUUUAAUUAAUAAUUAUCUAUGUGAUAAAAAUCAAUUAAACAUAGGAGAAGAAAGAAAUGACAUGAGUAUAUUAAAUUAAGAAACAUAAACUAUCCUAAAAAAAAUAUAGUAUUAAUUGAAUUAAUAAAGUAAACCAUUUUCAAUUUGAAUAAAGUUGUUUGAAGAAAAUGUUUGUCACUUUUAUAGAAAAGAUGUCACGAUAUUAUUAAUCACGCCCUUUUACCUUGGCAACAAUUUUGAUUGGAGAUCGGUCUUAAGUAAAAAUAAUAAUAAUAUAAUUUUUAAAAGACAAGUGAAAAUUUGAGUAUCAAAAUAUAACACAUAAAAAUAUUUAUAUAUGUAUAAAUAUACACAUAUUCAAAAAAAACAUUGGUUAGUGGUAUUCCCGAGGACGCGUCGGCUUGCUUUUAAAAUAUGAGAAUUAAAAAUCGUAAUUCUUUUUACUUUCCCGCCAACUAUAAGUUAGGAGAUAGUGUAUAUGUAAUUAAUAAUUUUUAAAAGACAUUGUCCAAUUCAAGUUGUAAAAAGCCAGAAAAAAAGAAUUAAACCAAAAUGUUAGCAAUUAAUGUUGUGUUUUAAAAAUGUUUGCAUAAACAAAGUAGGAAAAUUAGUUAAUAUGCUGAAAAUAUUAUUUGAAGACUGAAAAUUAACAUAUAAUUGUUGAGAAUGUGAUUUAAAAUGCGAAAAUGUCAUUUGUUAUAUGUCAAAGUUAUGCCAAAAGUAAAUAAAUUUGUUGUAACCUAAGUUGACAUAUUCAAACGUGAUUUAACGAGGCAAAAUUAAUUAAACUCCUAAAAGUAUGAUUUAUAAGAGAUUAAAAUAAAUCCUAAAUUAGGUUUGCCUAAGUGAUUUGCAUAAUACGUAAAGCACAUAAAUCCCUUCCCCCAAAACAGUCCCAUAAAUAUUAUUACAACAUAUCCUUUGUACAAUAAUCCUCACAGGCCAAUAUUAAAUGAAAUAAAAAAAAAAAAUACGAAGAGCUAGAUUGGAUAGCUCUUAACGACUACAUGCCAACUCUGUCUCGUCUAAAUACUUGUCCUUAACCUGUGAUAACAAAGAAAUAACCAAAACACAUUCCGAAUCUAGAAUACCUUUAGUGACACAUAACCAACCUUUGAUGCUGUCGAGAUCCUGGGGAUCCCAGGCAGGCUCAUGCCAAAGAAGCUAUGUGACGUGUAAAUAAUAUUUCAGAGUCACGUACAACAAGCAUGCUAAUGGAAAAGAACAUUUAGAAAAAGAAAAUAUGUCACAACUAAUAUGAAUACCCAAUAAGAGUCACGGAAAUACAAAAAAAAAAUAGGAGGUUCAUGUCGUCAAGCAUUUAAAGUAUGCAAAUCCAAGCAAAAAUCAAAACCACAUAGUAUAAAAGGAACUAAUGCAUCGUUGAAGAAAACUAACCGCUUUACAGCACAAUUACAAAAGAAGAUUGAACUUUCAAGAGUAGAUAAGAAGUCGUACGAGCAAACAAGAAUUAGCGAUCUCAAAGUAGAAGCAGCAAGCAAAAUUUAGCACUAAGUGUAGUGUAGAAUAGGGUAGAAGUCAGAGUACGAGUGUAAGAUAAGAGGUCUGACAAUUGAAAGAGAGGAUAUUUAUAUAGCAAAGGAGUAGAGAAAAUAAAAAGACAGAGAAUAUUUGCAAAUUCAAUCAAAUCAAUUAAAGAAAAAUAAACAGCUCCUAUUUACCUAAAUAAACAAGUCAGAAUAUUAUUUGAUCUUCAAGAGGCCAUCACUAGGUUUAGUGUAGAAGUGUAAGAUAAGAGGUCUGACAAUUGAAAGAGAGGAUAUUUAUAUAGCAAAAGUGUAGAGAAAAUAAAAGGAAAGAGAGUAUUUGCAAAUUCAAUCAAAUCAAUUAAAAAAACAUAAACAACUCCUAUUUACCUUAAUAAACAAGUCAGAAUAUUAUUUGAUCUUCAAGAGGCCAUAAAAAUAGGGAUACCAAUGGAUACUUCCCAUGUUAAGAAACGUAAUCACAUCAAAUUAGCACAGAAUAGAUCCAAUUAUAAUUGGGGGUAAACAUCUAUUUGUAUCAAAACUCCACAUGCUUAGCAAGCAAAAAUCACAAUACACCCAAAGAACUACUAUACUGUUGUAAUUGCGCUAGUAAUCCAAUUAACCGGUUCAAAUUUUCGGAGUCAAAAUUAUGACAGUAGACAAUGAAAUUGCAUUCCUAAAAUGAAAUCUAGGAUUAAUGAAAAAUUCAAAAUUUGUCAUUUUACAUAAAACAAACGUGAAACCAGAAAAACAGACCAACAAUAAAACCAUAAAUUUUAAGUUUAAAGAAAAGAGUAGCAGAAGAGAAUUAUAAUUGCAUGUAAAAAAUUAAAUACGAAAUCCAACCUAGGAUGGGUUCCUAAGAACCCAUCAUUUUUUCGAUGAGUUGUGGUGGCAGUGUCAUGGGAUGCACAGAGAGACAGCAAUGGUGGCUACAAUGAGAACGAAGGUUGGUUCAUGGGUAGCCGCUGGUUUGCAUGGCUGGUUUGAGGUGCCACGGCGACGGCUGGAGCUACGGAGCUCGGUUUUGAUGUCUUUUGAUACGAGCAGCGGCAAUGGUGAGAUCCGGCUAUCAUUAACAGUUCUUUACUGGUCAUCACCUACGAUGAAGCAGCAAUGAUGGGAGGCGACGCUGAUCGGAGGUGCAGUGGGACGUUCGGCUCACUGGUAAGCUGCCGUUAUUUAUUUCAGCGAUGGAGAUGUACCGGAUCUGGGCGACGAUGGCGCUGGGCCUUCACCAGUGGCGGCUAGUGUUAUUGCCUGUUCAACAAUGCUUAACCGUCAGAGAGAAUAAUAGAGGAGAGGGGGUUCGAGCUGUGGGCGGUCACCGGUGGCGGCUGGUGAGUUCUAGAGAGAAGGAGGAGCGAUAGAGAGAGAAAGUGGAGGUGGUGUUCGGUUAAUUUGGUGGAAUGAAUCUAGGGUUAGGGUUUUGAUUUUUUAAAAGAAAAGAAAGAGAUCCUUUGAUCUCAUUGGAUCAGUUUUGAUCGACAACUAGAUUUAGAGGUUGAGGAAUUGGUCAAAAUUUAAAAAUAAUUUAAAAUUAAGUCUUAAAUUGGCUAUAAUUAUAAUAAAUUGGCUGAAAUUGUAGUGUCUUGGGUAAAAAAAAUGGACUAAAAUAUAAAUAAAUUAUGCAAAUUAAUUUAAAUUUAGAUUGUUAUUUAAAUAAUAGUAGGGAUAAUAAUAGUAAAUAAUAUAUAUAAAAAAAAUAAAUAAUACUAAUACAAAUAAUAAUAAUAAUAAUAAUAAAUGUUAUAAAAAAUGAUGUAUUUGAAAAUUGAGAGUAUGCUUAUUUAUGAAAAGAACUAUAAAAAAUUAUGUCGAGAGAUAUUAUAUUUAAAUUAAUGAAUGAUGCUGUAAGGUGGUAAAAUAAUUUAUAUAUUUUAAAAUCGUAAAUGGCCACGUCAAAAUCUUUUUAAUGCAAGAAAACUGUGUAAAAAUAUCAACAUUUAAAAAUGGUAAUUUUUGCUAAAACAACUGCCUAAAAUGGGCAUCGGGAGGUACAAAAUUAGGUAUCAACAAUCCUUCAAUUCUCUCGAGUUUAAAGAAUGCGUUAAUUUAUUCAAUUAUUCUCUCAUGUGGGUUGAUUCCGUUAAGGCAUCAACCCUUAACCCAAAGGUUAAAGCCCUUAGAUCCCUUAUAAACCUUUUCUUUUCCCAACAAACACUUUUCUAUUCAAUUAAGUGAGGUUCUUGGUCUCAUCCUUCAAGUAUGCAACCAAAAAAAGUCUAUUGUGAAGAAGGGUUUAUACAACUUAAGUUAACCAUGGAAAUCAAGUGAUUUCACAACCCCAAUCAGCUUUUCACAUCAAGGCUCCCAUAGCCCUAGUUAUAGGAGCUUAGUCACACAUCUCCAUAGAAGAAGAAGAAGAAGAAGAAGUCAUUAUGUUUCUCAUAAAUAAAUUUAGGAAUUACUUACAAAAAUCACAAGAUUUAAAAAAUAGGCAUAAAAUAAUUAGAUCCACAAUUCUAGGUUGAUUCUUAGAGAAUACUAUGUUACAAUAAUGUUCAAAGUUUGAAAUAUGGUCCAGAAUCCCUAAAUUUAAACCUAAACUGGGUAUUUUAUAUGUUCCCAAGUGUAGAAUAUUUUAAAUCUAAACUAAAAAAAAAUUGCAUCCAAGUUAGCGGUCAGGACGAUGGCCCGUCGGAAGCUUGACGGCCCGUCGAAUGAACCAUCGCAAUCGGUCCCAAAAUGGCAUCUUCUAUUAAGGGUCGACGGUUAGGUUGGUGGACCGUUGCUGGCCCGGUGGUCCGUCGCAGGAGCCAUCACCUGACCUGCUAAAAGUUCACGUUCUAUUUCAGCCUGACGGACAGUUUGGCGGCCCGUCGGGUGUUCGACGUUCCGCCACUUGGACUGUCGCAAAGAUCAUUCUUUUGUUUCUCUCUGUUUUACUCUGACGACCACCCUGGUGGUCCGUUACAUGGAUGACAGUUCGCCAGUUGGACUGUCAGUGCUCUUUUCCUGCUAUUUUUUUAAGUUUUUCCUCCUUCUAACUCUUUGAAUUGAAAACACUAAAAUUCAGUAUUAAAUACAACAUUUGUUGCUUGAAAACAUACAAUUAUCCCAUAAAAAAGAUGUAAAAUAUUUCAUUAAAAGACAAAACAUCAACACCCUCAAUGUAAGACAAUUGUUUGUCCUCAAGCAACUCAGCACCAAUUUGCAUAUAUGAACAAUACAAUGACAGACAAUAAACUAUUUAACUGGAUUUAACACAACCAUUCAUUUGCCAUCCCACUCUUAUGGGCUCAUCACAUCAGGAUCUAUAAUCGGCAUUGCUUCAAUACUUAGCACACACACAAAAUCAUGGAUAUCAUAUCCUACAGAGACCAGCAAAACUAAGUGUAACUCAAGUUACCCUCACAGCGAAUAAAUUCCACCACUCAUUGUAUCUUAUGGACACAAUCAAGACUCUCACACUCAACAAAGAAGUUACAAGCAUAACAUAUAUACCCAUAGGCUUGCCCUUAUCAUAUAUUUCUUCCUUAUGGUUGAUUCGCAAGGAUCAAGAAGGUCUUUUUCAGGCUUGUAAUGAGGCUCAGGGGUUAGGUGAUGACAAAUUUUUGUGAAAAGUGACUCAAAUUUCAGACUUAACUCUCUUUACCCUUGAAUUCUACUCACCAAGGCUACUGUUUUACCAGCUCACCUAUAAUCCAUAUUAUUCACUCACACUUUACCAUAUUUUCCCCUUUUUUCUCCUCUUUUAUAUAUAUAUAUAUAUAUAUAUAUAUAUAUAUAUAUAUAGAGAGAGAGAGAGAGAGAGAGAGAGAGAUUAAGCAUCAGCCACCCUCAACUUAUGCUAAUGCAGUUAUUUAAGGUGCACAAUACCUUGAAUAGAUCAGGGCCAAAUGUUUUAAACUAAUACUAAACCAACUUUUCGUUAGCCGGCUAACAUCUUGACAAUAGCCACCCUCAACUUAGGGGUUUUGCCUAAGUUAAGGUGCACAAUGUCUAAUAUUGGACCAGGGCCAGAGUUAGGUGUUAACAACCUAAAGAGGGUUAAUUAGAGUUAUUGGUGAUGAUGAAAACUAAUACAAGCUCAAAAAGGGUUCAAAAAUGGAAAAAAAAAAUUGGUGGGGUUAAAUUAUUUUGGCUAAAUGGAUUAAAUGUACAAGGAGGCCUGCUAUCCUAUCCUAUUGAAUCAACCACAAGACAACAUCAAUGAAUUGGGCAAGUUCUAGGUAUUACACUUAUGCAAUAACUAAUACAAAUAUUUGCACACACAGGCAAUUGAGUCAAACUCAUUCUACUGCUCUUAGGAUUUCUAUCACAUGAUUGUGCAUAUCUUACAUAUUAAUGCCAAUUACCUAAUCACUAAAGGUUACUCACAUAUGCUAAAUGACAAGAGUAAAUAAUCGUACAAACAUAUUCAUAGUCUUAUGCCAGUAUCAUUCAUCAUUCAUAUACACAACAAGAUGCUAAAAUAACAGACACUUUACUUUAUAAAUAAACAUUAACAAAUAGAUAUUUACAUCAUAACCUAAGAAAAGAAAAUGCAAUCCUAGACAUACAAGUUCUGCUAGAUAGAACAUGGGAGAAAAAAAACAUCGGCAACAAAAAAACCUACAUAAAAUAAAUGUGUUCUCCUUAAUGCAUAAAAUUAAAGUACAAAGAAUGGGAAAUACUUGUAAAGCCUCUUAUUUAGAUGAGGCAUCAGUGAAGUGUGGUGAGGCUCCAGUGGCCUCACCUGCAGCAAUGUUGACCCCUAUGGUGGUAGGGGAACUUACAAUCUCUUUCUCCAGAACUGGAGGUAUCGCAUCCCGAGCUGGGUCUGAACUAGGCCCCCUUGCUGGGGCAGAACUGGUAGAUACUCCAGCAGCUUCAUCUUCUGCCUUCUUUCUUCUUCUUUCUUCAUCUCUCCUUAACCCUUUCGCAGCUUUUCUUAUAUCAUAAUCUUCCUUCUCUUCCAGUGUCAUUGUCUCUCUUCUUCUUCUUCGGGAAGCUUUACUGUUCGUGUUUUUGCCUGCACUUUCAUCCACCUUCUUUUCUUUAUCUUUAAAUGGCUUUCUCAUCAAGUCGCUAAUACCUUCAUCAUCAUCGCUUAUCACCAAAGUGGGAUUAAAGACCGAAUAUUGUGACUGUUUGUUCUUUAACUUUACUAUGUCCGCCUGUUCUUGUUUAAAUUCUUCCAUAAACUUUGCAAAAUCUGGAAUGGAUAUCGCAUCCAGCCUUUUGUUGAUUCUCUAUUCCAUGUGAUCCAUUAAAGCUGAAUGUGUUGAAAUGGAUGGGUUACUUCAGCCACAAUUUGAUCAACAAACGGCUUAAAUUUUAAAGCCCAUGUGUCUAGCUAUUUCUUAAACUUCUUUUGCAGCUUAACCGACUUGGUAAAAUUUUCCUGCAUUAACCUGUACUCCGAAUAAUCUGUCCCACCCAUUGGUGGCAUAGACUCCAAUCCUACAGAUAUACUAGAUGGUACAUAAGUAGUGAUAGGUAAUGGAAUACCUGUUGGAAUGUCGAAAGUAUCGGGGGCUAGCGCUGACUGCGUUUGAUAGGCUGGAGGUUUAGUGAAUUAUAUCUCAAACUUUGAGUCAUCCUUUGAUUUCUUAAUUUCUUGCCUAUAUGUAGCCCGAACUGUAUUAUCAACUCCUCGAAUUAGUGGCACAUUAGCCUGUCUGCAUAGCUCCAUGAUAAAACACGGGAAUGGUAGUGCACUUUCCACCCUGUGUGCCCUCACGAACAUCUCAUCAGCAAUGAUUUAGACAAAAUUAAUCUUCAUCCCUGCAAUCAAACUAGCCACCAGUAUAUCCCUGUGGCUAUCCAAAUUAGCAUCCCCACCUGUUGGCAUCAAUCUUAACCAAAUAAUGGCCCACCAGAACUUAGCUUGGAAGCUAAGGGAGGACUUAGCAAUGCGCUCUCAAGGGUUUGCUGUCCAGGCGGGGUUGCAAUCAUCAGUCAGUAACCCAUACAACCACAGCUUCUGAGUCGAUACUGAAGUCAGACAAAACUCAAGAUUAGGAACAGCAGUCGGUGCCUCAUAGUCGUGUCCAAAUAUCAUUUUGUUGAUUGUUCUAACCGAUAUAUCAAUGUUAACCCCUCUUACUGGUACUGACUCUCUGUUUGAUAAGUCUGAAAUCUUCGUGCCCUUAGGAUAAUCUUUUUCUACCAAUGCCAAGUAAUUAGAAAUGAACUCUCUUACCAUAUUUGGUUGAUAAGAACCAAGAGGUUUGCUUAUCUAGGUCAACUCAUACUCAUUGAAAUGCCGCUCCAGUUCUGGAUAUUCGUGCAACUCACUUGUCACAAUCUGGUACUCCUCAGAGAUUGGCCUUUUGAUUGGCCUACUCGCUGUCGGUUCCAAUCCAUCAAGGAACUUAUCUUUUGACCUCUCAAUUUCCACCUGAGUGCCUCCCUCAUUUAAGGUUCUUUGAUCUUAACCACAGUUUCCUUCUCGAUUUCUGUCUCAGCAUUGCCAGUUUUUGCCUCUGCGGGGUUGGGGUUAGAUAUGUUAACCCCUUCCUCGUCUGGGCUCUAACUAGUACUACUAGUGCUGAUCUCACUCUCUUCUUCAAAUUGGGAGAGUGUGGAGAUUUCCCUAUCUUGUUGUUUGGUGUUGAAGGCAAGAUCUUCUUCACUCCUGGACGACUCACCUCUUCCUUGUGCUCUACCACCACCUCUAGUCAAAAGAAGUUUAAGUGCCAUAAUGCCUGAAAAAGGAACAAGGCAUCAGUUUGCAGGUCAAAAUAGAUCGAAAAUAGUGAACAUAUGACUUGACGGUUACUCAGACAGCCCAUCGAUGAUGCGAUGGUCCGCCGGACUGGCCAUCAAGAAUUAACCAGUAUGUUCUGAUUUUUCAGAGCCUUGUGACGGUCGAACUGGUGGUCCGUCAAGUUAUUGACGGUCUGUCAAGUUGUUCGUCGCACCUUUCCAGUGAACAUCAAUAUUAGCAUCCAUGUGACAGUCUACUCGGUGGUGCAUCACAGGAGCGACGGUCCACCAAGGUGACCGUCAGAAACCCUUUUCAGUUCAAGACUUCACUUUGGCAUUUUUUCGAACACCUGGUAUGCAUUCUUACAUUCUUGACGCAAUCAAUGGCAUGAACUUGGUGUUUAAGCACAAUUUUUCUUCCACUUUCAAUACAUGGGUUACUCAGACUUCACCCAGCGCAAUGCAUACCAUGGGUUUGAUUUUUAGAUUACAAUCAGAACAAAAUAAGAAGAAGAUAAAAUUUUCCUCCCACAGACAAUAAUUCACUUACUUAAUGUUGAACAAUUUAAAUAACAAAGACAAAGGUUGUGAUCAUACCUUGAUGGUACAAUAACUUCACUCUACUUACUUGCAACUUCAGAAAAUAAAUAAAAAGUUAAGGCCUUUGUUAGUGAUUGAUACUUUUGUUGUUAUGAGAAGAAGGGGGGAAGGUCCUGUUUAAAUAGGAAAGAAAAAUAAUAGGGAGAGUCCUAAAGGGGAAUAACUGACUCUAGAUACUUUGAACACAAAGGAAGUUAAGCAGUUCUAGGAUUUGAAAAGGUAGCAACGUAUGUAACCACCUCUUCUUUUCAGUUUAAAGACAUUUGGGUUGGUUUCAUGCAAUUUAAAUAGUAUUUAAAAUCAUCCCGACCCAACCCGUGCUUAGGGUUGCAUUGACGAUCUACUUGACAGUCCGUAAGGUGUUCGACGGUCCGUCUGGUUGGCCAUCGAAGCUUACCAGAAUCUAGUAACUUAUACCUUGCUGCAAUGGCUUAUGCGAUGGUCCGUCAACCUACCCGUCAGUCUGUUCUAAUGACCUCGAGUUUCCAUCUCUGUUUGACGGAGGGAGUGAUGGUCCGUUGGGCUAGCGAAGGUCCACCGGCUUGGCCAUCAAGCCUUAUCCAGAAUGAUCAUUUUUUAUCAUGGCUUUGACGGUCUUAAUGAUGGUCCAUCGGGACCUUGACAGUCAGUCGGUCUUCCCGUCAACCCCUUUUCAACUAUAGAACUCCUUUCUUUCUGCAUUUUCAAUCCUGCAAACUUCACAAAUACAUCAAAUUGCACAAGAACAACAAAUAAAUUCUAACAAUGAUUACAACAACACUUUAUGGGUUACCUCCUACUAGCGCCUCAUUUAAUUCCACGGCAUGACUCAGUUAUCUCGAUUACUCAGACUUCAUCGAGAUAGAUGGUAGCUAUACACCUUAUCGAGUCCAUUGGACCGAUAUACAACUUCACUCAUUGCCCGUUAACUUUGAAGACACUUCCGUCCUUAUUUUCAAGUUCAACUACUCCAGAUGAGUAGACUUGGUUAACUUUGAAUGGACCAGACCAUUUUGAUUUAAGUUUACCUCAAAACAGCUUCAAUCUAGAGUUGAAGAGUAGUACCCAAUCACCUUUAUGAAAGUCUCGCUUUGCAAUCCUCCGGUCAUGGUACCUCUUCAUCUUCUCCUUGUAUAGGUUUGCUCUUUCAUAUGCUCCAAGAUGAAACUCAUCCAUCUCAUUUAGAUGACCCAAUCUCAACUUUGUUACCUCAUUCCAGUUCAAGUUCAGCUUCCUAAGUGCCCACAGCGCCUUAUGCUCUAAUUUAAUCGGCAAAUGGCAUGCCUUGCCAUAAACCAAUUGGUACGAUGACAUGCUGAUAGGUGUAUUGAAAGUUGUUCUAUCUGCCCACAAGGCAUCAUCAAGCUUCCUAGACCAAUCUUGUCUACUUGCAUUCACCGUUUGACCAAGAAUGGCUUUGAUCUCUCUAUUUGAAAUCUCUACUUUCCCUCUAGUUUGUGGGAGGUAUGGAGUUUCCACCUUAUGCUACUUAACACCGUACAUCGCCAAGGCAGGCCUAAAUACUCGAUUACAAAAAUAUGAUCCCCCGUUGCUUAUGAUGGUUGUGGCACCCCAAAACGAGAGAAUAUAUUCCUUUUAAGGAAUGCAACAACUAUUUUUCCUUCAUUAUCGGCCAAGGCAACAGCCUCAACCCAUUUAGAUACAUAAUCAAAGGCAACCAGAAUAUAUUUCAUCCCAUAUGAGCUCACGAAGGGUCCCAUGAAGUCGAUGCUCUAGAUGUCAAACAACUCCACUUCCAUCCUUUUUGUCAAAGGCAUAUCAUGGUGCUUUGAGAUUGACCCUUGUCUUUGGCAUUGGUCAUAUCUCCGAACGAACUCAUGAGCAUCUUUGAAUAAAGUCGGCCAAUAGUAACCACUUUGCAAUACUUUCCUAGCAGUUUGGUCACCUACAAAGUGACCCCCAAUCGGAGAAGCAUGACAAGCUUCCAAAAUAUUCAGCAUGUCCACUUCUUGGAUACACUUCUUUAUAAUAUUAUCUGCACAAUGCUGAAAUAAUACGGCUCAUCCCAGAAGUAGUGUGUAAUAUCGUGAAGAAAUAUUUUUUUUUGGUAAAAAAAAUAUUCUCUGGAAUAUCUCCCUCACCACAUAGUUUGCAAAGUCUGCAUACCACAACACUGUCUCUAACACAGCAACCAAGAUUUACUCGUAUGGAAAUGCAUCAUCAAUUUAUAGCUCAUCCUUGGGUGCUUAACCUCCCUCCUGUCUGGACAAGUGGUCUGCGACUUGAUUCUCGCAUCCCUUCCUAUCUUUGACUUCAAAGUCAAAUUCUUGGAGAAGCAAUACCCAUCUGAUUAAUCUCGGCGUAGCAUCAUUUGGCCAUCAAAUAUCUCAAGGCGGCGUGGUCUGUGUGAACCACCACCUUGAUUGCCAAUAGGUAAGCCCAGAACUUCUCAAAGGCAUAGACAACUGCAAGGAGUUCCUAUUCGGUAACAAUGUAGUUCUUUUGAGCUCCAUUUAAGGCCUUGCUUGCAUAAUAAAUGGGAUGAAACAACUUAUCCAUAUUUUGGCCAAGUACAACCCCAAGCGCCACUCCGCUUGCAUCGCACAUAAUCUCAAAUGGAUUUGACCAAUCUGGAGCAAUGAUAAUAGGAGCAUCAACCAAUUUCCCUUUAAGGCAUUUAAAUGCCUUCAAGAAUUUGCCAUAAAAUAUAAACUUGGCCUCCUUCUACAAAACUUUGAAAUGUAGGUUUGAAAUUUUUGAGAAGUCUUUUAUGAAUUGCCGAUAGAAAACCGCAUGACCAAGAAAACUACUCACUCUCUUUACUGAAAUAGGAGGUAGUAGCUUCUCAAUAACCUCGACCUUAGCUCGGUCGACUUCAAUCCCCUUGGCAGAAAUUUUGUGACCAAGGACAAUACCCUCUUUCACCAUGAAGUGGCAUUUCUCCCAAUUAAGCACUAGAUUAAACUACCCGUACCGCUGCAAAGCUCUACUCAGAUUCACCAAACAAAGCUCAAAAGAAUCACCUACUACUGAGAAGUCAUCCAUAAACACCUCCAAGGUGUCUUCAACCAUAUCAGAAAAGAUAGAUAUUAUGCACCGUUGAAAGGUAGCGGGUGCAUUACACAAACCAAACGGCAUCCGUUUAAAAAAAAAAUACCAUACGGGCAAGUAAAGGUCAUCUUCUCCUGAUCCUCUAGGCUACAGAGAUCUGGUUAUAGCCCGAAUAUCCAUCCAAGAAAUAAUACCAACCUCUUCCCACAAACUGGUCAAGUAUUUGGUCCAUAAAAGAUAUUAGAAAGUGGUCCUUUAAAGUCCAUGAGUUGAGCUUACGAUAGUCCAUGCAAACUCUCUACCCAGUCACAGGUCUAAGAAGGAUCAACUCAUUUUUCUCGUUCGCUACCACAGUCAUGCCCCCCAAACUUGGAAACGCAUUUGACAAGACUUACCCAUUUACUAUCAGAAAUGAGGUAUACAACUUCUACAUCAAGCCAUUUGAUGAUUUCCUUCUUAACCACCUCUUGCAUAGGUGGGUUAAUAUGGCAUUGAUGCUUAAUGGUAGGAGUGCAAUCUUCCUCAAGCUGAAUUUUAUGCAAGCAAAUACCUGGAAGAAUGCUAAUAAUAUCCAUAAUAGUCCAUCCUAUCACCCUUUUGUACCUCUAGAGCACUGAGAUAAGUGCCUCUACUUGUUGUUCCCCCAUAUCUUCUGCAAUAAUCACAGGUAAAGUGUUUCCAUUGCCUAUAAACACAUAUCGUAGAUGGCCUAACAAUUCUUUCAACUCCAACACUGGUGGCUCUUCAAUAGAUGGCUUUGCCGGUAGUGUUGGGUGAUUUUUAAGAUCUAGAUCCAGCUUCUUAGAAGCAUAAGAGUAUGACCCCAUUCUAGUCAAGGCACACACAGUCUCCCCAUACUCUUUAAUGCCUUUGCUAUCGAAAUUCAUCAAGACUGUAGCCAAAGGCUCAACAGUAAAUUUAUCCUCUAUUGUCACUUCUUGAUCAUCCUCAUGAUAAACAUCAACAAUAGAUAACAUACUCAUUUCCUUAUGCUGCUUCAUAGAUUGAUACACAUCAAGCUGAACUACUUCAUUACUAAGCCUGAAUAAGAGCUCAUUAGCUCACAAGUCAAUAAGUACGCUUCCAGUUGGAAGAAAAGGUCGACCAAGAUUAUGGACACCUCUAAGUCCACCUCACAAUCCAGAAUAACAAAAUCUGCAGAGAAUAUAAAGUUGGCCACAUUCACUAGCAUAUCAUAUAAAAUACCCACUGGCCACUUUAUCGACCUGUCCACCAUCACUAGUCGCAUGUUUGUGGGUAUAAGAUCCCCCAAACCUAACUUUUUAUAAACAGCAAGCAGUAUCAGGUUAAUACUCGCUCCUAGAUUAUACAAGGCCUUAGCAAAAUCAAGAGACCCAAUAGUACAAGGAAUAGUGAAUGCUCCUGGGUUUGCUUUUUUUUGCACCAAAGACCUUAUUGAAAUAGCGCCACAGUGGUAAAGGUUUUCCACCGGUUCAUAGAUCACUUUUCUCUUCUUUAUCACUAAGUCUUUCAUAAACAUAGCAUACCUAGGCAUCUACUCUAAUGCCUCCACUAAAGGCACAUUCACUGUCAGCUGCUUCAGUAUCGCCAUGAAUUUACUAAACCUUGUAUCAUCAGCUUUCUUCUUCAAUCUAUAAGGAAAGGGAGGCGGUGGUUUUGGGAAAAUGGUAACCACUGCUUUCUUCUUCUUUUCUUUUUCUUCCUCUAACUCAUCAACCUACUGAUGGUUAGAUGUGCUCGCAUUACCAUCCAUCUUUUCAGACUCCACUAGAUGGGUUUCAUCAACUUCUACCUCUCCAUCGAUCAUAUCAUUGAUCACAGCCUUGCCUACAGAAGGGCCAGGUAAUAUUUUACCACUCCGAGUGGUAACUUCCAUGUAAGAGCUAUCGUUAUGAGGGUUCUACACUGUAUCGCAAGGCAAGGCACCAAUUUUUCUCUGAUUAAAUAAUGUCGAGAGUUAGAUCAUCUGCUGCUCCAACUACUUAAUAUAAGUUGAGUGCAAAUUUACUAGCUGGCUCAUAAAAGAUAAGUCACUCUUCAUCAUCUUCACUCUAGCAUUGGUAGCCUCAACUCCCUUUAAUAGUUUCUCCAACAUAUCCUCCAUGGAUAUCUUGCCUGAACUGGUAGCUGCAUUGUCCCGGUUUCCAAAAAGUACAUACAGUCCACACUUGUUAUUUUGGUUCUUCCAACUCCUUUGGUCCCUAUCUUUGUAACCAGCCUUAUUGUUAUAGUUUCGACCUUGAUUCCCUUGGAUAUUGCCUUACGAACCCCCUGAUUAUUUAGAUAGUUCACCUCCUCCUUAGAAUCAAGAUCAACUCUGCCUUGCGACCCAAUAACUUUUACCUUCUCAGUCUUCCCAGAUAAUAAGUAUUUAGUAAGCAGAUCUAUCUGUGUUUUCAUGUGUACCAUACCUUGGUCACACUCCUCAUAUUUCUGAAAUUGUUCCACUGACAUACCAUAAGACAUAGUAGGGCUUGCUACCACAGAAUCCCUGGUGUGCCAAGAUCUACUUAUCUUAGUCAACCGCUCCAAUAUAUCUGCAGCCUCAUUGAAUGUAAGCUCCAUGAAUACUCCUCUUGCUGUAUUGUCAACUGUUGGUUUAGUUAUAAAGUUCAGGGCUCUAUAGAAAGUCACCAUUAAAUGCUUGUCAGUCAUCUUGUUGUUGCGGCACUAUGUCAACUUUUUCUUGAAUCGCAUCCAAGUCUAAUGUAGUGCCUCAUUUGGUAAUUGUCUGAAGUUGCUGAUUUUAUCCCUCAACUGUAACAUCCUGGAGGGUGGAAAGAACCUUUCUAGGAAAUCUCCUUUCAAUUGCCUCCAAUUUUUAUAGAAUCAUGGGAAAACUCAUUCAACCACAUUGUUGCCUCCCCAGACAGAGACAGCGGAAACAAUCGAAGAUGAAUUACAUUUUGACCAACACCAAGGGUAUCAAAGGAUUUGCAAAUAUUGAUAAAAUUCACCAAGUGCAAGUUUGGUCAUCCCCUGGAAUUACUACAAACAACCCCUUAAGAUUAAGUAGUUGUAUCAUGGUGCUGGUUAUGUUGAACUUAACCCCAAGUAUCAGUGGAGGUGGAAUAAUCUUUUCUAUAGCACCAGCUUUAUCCAAGUCGUCCUUCUCCUCAUCAAGAUCAAAUUGCACAGCAUGUUGGUGGUUUGAUCUCCCUCAAGCUGCCCGGCUUCUAUUGGCAACCACCUCUACAUUCUCUGUACGCCUCCUAUUUGCUGGGUUAAUCAGAUCAUCAUCUCCUCAAUCUUUAUUAUCAGGAUUAUGGUCAUGAGCUGGUUAUCCAUUAUUUUGCAGAUUAACCUGUGCUCUAGCCAAGUUGGCUAGUCUCUCAGCUUCUUGUUAUUCUUCUAUUCUACCAAUUAGAUGCGGUUCAGGAUUGAAGAGUAAUAGCGGUUCUCCCAAACUUCUGGCACGCGGCAUAAUCAACAAUGAACCUGUAAUGAACCAAAAAAUACAAAUAAAAGUAAAAUUUAUGAAACUUGACCAAUGGUCAAUUAACAAUCACAAACUUAAUUGACAGUCGUAAUCCCCGGCAACAACGCCAAAAUUUGAUAGGCCCAAAUUACAGCUCUCUUACAAGAGAGUAAGCAAUCAUUGUUAAAAAUAUAACCCAACUAGGUCGGGGUCUAAUCUCAUAGGGAAUACUAUGUUCACUAAGUAUUGUGGUUAUUACUAGACUGUUGAUUAAAGGUUCCAAAUUAAAGAGGGUUUUGGUUUGUAAGUUUUAUCUUGUUAUUUGUAACAGAAAGUGUUUCUAUUAGUGAUUCUUAUUGCAAAUAUUAAUUCAAUGAGAGUAUACAACUAGAGUUACGGUUACCAAGAUGUACAGGCAUCUAGGGUUGUGAAUUAUUAUGAAUCUCUACUUAAUCACUUCAAUUGCAAGAGUUAUUGAAUCCUAUAAUCUACCUAUUUGUCUCUUAACCUAAAUGAUUAGAUUAUCGUUCAAUUCUCUUGAGCUUAAAGAAUGCAUUAAUUUUUCAAUUAUUCUCUCAUGUGGGUUGAUCCCGUUAAGGCAUCAACCCUUAACCCAAAGUUAAAUCCCUUAGAUCCCUUGUAAACCUAUUCUUUUCCUAACAAGCACUUUUCUAUUCAAACAAGUGAUGUUCUUGGGCUCACCCUUCAAGUUUGCAACCAAGAAAGGUCAUUAUUAUGAAGAAAGGUUUAUACAACUUCAGUUAACCAUGGAAAUCAAGUGUUUUCAGAACCCCAAUCAGCUUUUCACAUUAAGGCUCUCAUAACCCUAGUUAUGGAAGCUUAGCCACACAUCUCUAUAGAAGAAGAAGAAGAAGAAGAAGAAGAAGAAGAGUCAUUAUGUUUCUCAUAAAUAAAUUUAGGAAUUACUUACAAAAAUUACAUGAUUUGUUCUCAAAUCUUCAAAAGAAAAUAGGCAUAAAAUGAUUAGAUCCACAAUUCUAUCUUGAUUCUCAGAGAAUACUAUGUUACAAUUAUGUUCAAAGUCGGAAAUAUGGUCUAGAAUCCCUAAAUUAAACCUAAAUUGGGUAUUUUAUAUGUUCCCAGGUGUAGAGUAUAAAAAAUUUAAACUCAGAAAAAGCCGCGUCCAAGUUGACGGUCAGGACAAUGGCUCCUCGAAAGCUUGACGGUCCGUUGAAUGGACCGUCAUGAUCGGUACCAAAAUGGCAUCUUCUAUUAAGGGUCAACAAUUAGGUUGGUGGACCUUCACUAGCCUGGUGGUCUAUCACAUAAGCCGUCACUAGAUCAUCUGAAAGAUCAUAUUUUGUUUUAACCCGACGGCUAAUUUGGCGGCCCGUCGGAUGUUCGAUGGUCCACUACUUGGACCGUUGCAGAGAUCAGUCUUUUGGUCCUCUCUAUUUUACUCUGAUAACAACCCUGGCAGUCCGUCGCAUGGCUGACGAUCCGCCAAUUGGACCGUCAGUGCCCUUUUCCUGCUUUUUCCCAAGUUUUUCCUCUUGCUAACUCUUUGACCUAAAAACACUAAAAUCAAGUAUUAAAUACAUCUGGUGCUUUAAAACAUACAAUUAUCCCAUGAAAAAGAUGUAAAAUGUUCCGUCAAAAUCCGAAACAUCAAGGUUCCAUUAUUAUAUUCACUUGGGUGAUUCUCGUGAACCCACAAGGUUUUAAAUCAAAGCCAUAGCCACUAAGGCCUUGCCAUUUAUCCAUUAAAACCAUUUUAAAAUUUAGGUUCCAUUACCAUGUUAUACCAUGCAAUGUUUUCAAUAAAAGUUCAACUAUGUAUUUAAAGCAUUCUCAUAGGCAUUUUAAUAUACACGUUGAGGGCAUAUAGUUUCCAAAAUAAAAACCAAGUACCAAUUGACCAUUCCCAUGAAGCCACAUGUUCAAACCACAAUUAUAAUAUGAAAACCAUAAGUAAAAACAUUGAAAAACAUAAAUCAACCAUUAAUAACCAAAACCCCAACAUAUAAUUAAAAACCAAAUAAUACCCAUAAUUAAAUCAUGAAAACCAUUCAUUAAAACAUGAAUUUAGUUGAACUAAUAAUGAGGGAGGAGUAAAAUGCCUUAGAUACCAAAGAAGAUGGAGCGAAAUCACCCUUGAAAGCCCCAAUUGAUAUGCUUGAUGAAAACCCUAAGUGUUCUUGACCUUGAGGAUUUGAGAGUAUUUGGGAGUCUAUUUGAUGUGUUUUUGAUAGUUCGUGAUGCCCUAAAAAGGUUAUAAGAUAUGGGUUUUAAGUUGGUCAAAAGUGGAAAUAUCGAGAAUAUCGUCAACUUAAAAGUUAAAAAAUGCACGUAGGAGUGUUUGACUCCCCCUAACUCAUACACAAUCAUACGAGUGGUACACACUAGACAUACCCUAGACAGAAUGUUGGACUUCAACACUAUCCAAUGUAUGACCCCCAAGGAUCAACUCAUACUAAAUCAUACAAUAAGUACCCAUAACCCGUACCCUAAGCAGAAUACUCUAGGCUAGACAUAUUGAGCAACAUAUGAGUGGCUUACCUAAUUCGUACCAUCUCCAUAUGAGUCUUAUGAUUCCCUUUCAUAACUUAGAAAAAAUGGACACCAGAGCAUACUAAUUAUUAUAUGAGUUAAGGACCCUAAACCAUACAACAUCAUACAACAAGUACCCACAAGUGGUAUGAUGUCCAAAAGCUCAAACUCAAGAAAUUUUUUAGGGAUCAAAACCCAGGGUAUUUUAGAUUACUGGAUAUUAUAUUUGAAGAAGGUGAAGAUGUUGAGUACUAAUGACAAGAUAAUGCACUACAAAUGGCUGGUGUGUCAUAUUACAAAAGCUACAAAAGUAGCAGAAUGGGGAAAAAGGAUAGCCAUUUACAAACAUACAUUGAGUUUCACUACUAAGGCUUGGUGGUCCAUUGUUCAUUACCACAUAGUACCCAUAAAAGAUGAUAAGGCACUGAGUGCUAACAAUAAAGGGAUGGACAAGUGUAAUACCCCAAACUUUUCCUUAAGCCUAAUUUCAUCUCUAGAAGGUUAAGAAAUGACUUCCUAAGUGAGUAACAUUUCAACCAUAUAGAUUUUCCCUAAUUUUGACUUUUUAUCAUGUGAGAAAUUUAAUUAGCUUUCCAAUGAUAUAAGAUCCACCCAAAUCCAAUGACCGGGCAAGAAGUUAUGGCUAAUUUAAGUUCUAGUCAUAAGACACCAUCAUUUUAGUGUUUGGCGCGUCAUGUAGAGGGUCUAUUUAACAAUUUUCAAAUACCAGUGGAACUUUACGAUAGUGGCACGUCGCGGAGGACCCUAAUUUCCCAAUAGUCAAUUUUCAGUAGCCCAACGCGAUUGUGACACGUCGCGCUGAAGUUCCAGGUCCUAACCAGUGGGACAACACAAUGGCUUCACAUCGUGGUGACUCCCAGAUUCCCAUUUGUCAAUUUCCAGUAAGCCACCAUGAUAGUGUCGCGUCUCGAUGGCCCAUAAAGUCAGGUUUCUACUUCAAUUUUUCAGCUUCGUACAAAAGUUAAAAAGGGCACUUUAGACUUUUUCCAAGCCUCUUAAACCGUACAAACAUCAGAAUUAAGGUCACUACAAGCGUCAUAUGAGAUUUUUCUCAAGAUUUCCCUCAACCAAAAACCCUAAGCAUCCAAAUCCUCUUCCAAGAAUCUCAAGGGUUCACCAUUCAAAGUUCCCAAGUCAAAAGCCUCAAGAACCCUCAUUCAAGAGUACGAAUAGAGUCCCAAAAGCUAGAUUUCAUCCAAAGCUUCUAAUUCAAGAUUUAUGGUUUUACAUGUUUUCUGAUGAAAUUAAAGUAUGGGUUUAUAACCUAGGUUAUUAUUUCUUUAGUUUAUGAUGGUUUCAAUGCUUUAGAAAUUGAAGUACAUGAGUAUGUUGAGAUUGCAAUGCAUAGUGCUGAAAAUUUGCAGAUUUCUAUAUGAUUUAUAAAUCUUUAUGAUAUCUAGUAUACAUUUUAAUGCGUCUUAUCUUGAGAUUGAAUUAUGGGUCACUAAGCCCUAGUUGAGAUUUUAAUUUUAUGAACUUUUGUGCUAUAAGCACCUAUGAUUUGAGUAUUUUGUGAUUAUUGAGAAUGUUUUGACCUUGAUGGUCAUAGUAGCUUUGAAAUCCACUUUACUAAAUAAAAUUACAGAUUUUAUUAUUGGGUUCUUUAUGAACCAUGAGAUUACUUUAAAUUGUAUUUCCAUGAGAUGAACGUAGCUAACUAAAGGGAGUAAUAUUUAGCACCGAGCUGGGUAAGUUACUACGCUUUCAUACCACAGAACUACGUGCCACCGUAGGAUUGAGAUUUAUGGGCCCGAGGCCGAGAUAGUAAUUAUUAAGUUGAGGUUAUACUCUCUGGAAAAAGUAUGACGCCCCUCCCCAAUGUGAGGUUUUUUCCUUAGGAGGACAAAACAUUGGACUCCACGUAGCUCGCAUGGUUUAUGUCGGUUAAGAGAACCUCCCUUCUAGUAAAAGUAAAUAAUCAGCUUUUGAGUAUUUUUCCCUAAUUGUAAGAUUUUCUAAGUAUUUUUCUUAAAAUAUAUUUUUCCUUAAAGAGAGUAUUUUUCCCUACUAGUAAGAGUAAAUAAUCAAUUCCUAAAGUAAAGUAUGUUCCUUUGAGAUGAGUUAUUGUUCCCUAAAUGUAAAGGCUCACUGACAUAUCCAAAUAUUAUUUUUACUUUAGAUUUUAGUUUUAAAGUUACAGUCUUAGCUUCCAGAUAUAGAUUUCCAAAACAAGUAUUUUGACUCAUGAGAUACAUACUAUGCGUUCCAUUAUUCAUAAUAUAUGAGAUUUAUAUUUUUGAGUUACUCAAGCUAUAUGAGUCAGUUAUAUCAGCAUGCAUGAUUUUUAUAAAGGUUGAUGAUAUUAUUGUUUUAAUUAUUUCAUACACCCCCAUAUACUCAGUACAUCCUUAAAGUACUGAUCCAUAUAUACGUCUGUGUGCUACAUUGUCUCAUAAUGUAGGUUCAGGUGCUCAAUCCUAGCAACGACAGUAAUCUUCGAGCAUCUCAUCUACAUAUUUAUCCUUGGUGAUUCCUCACGGUUUGAUGACCUAUAUCUGCAUUUUUCCCGCUUUAAUAGUGUUUUAAGUAUUACUUUCAGACCAGUUCAAGUCAGUUGGGGGUCUGUCCCAAUGGCUUUUCAGUUUGAGUAGUAGAGGCUUUGUCAGACUAGACUAUUAGUUUUGUUUUAGAAUUUUCAGUAUUUGAUAUUCAGAAUAUGUUUUCCAGUUAUUUCAGUUUAGAUUUAAUGUGAUACAGCGUUAUUGCUUGAUUAUCCAUCUUAAAGUAAGUCUUAGAUGUAGUAGUAGGCUCAAAGGAUUAGUUUAGGGCUACUAGUAGCCUUAAUCACCGUGUGACAUCUUGGGAUGAGAUUUCGGAGCAUCAUAGCAAGGUAGAAUUGGAGUUAAAAUUUUUGCAGAUCAUUACGGAAGAGGUUUGGGAGAGUCUAUUGCAUUACUACACUGCUAGCUCUUUCUUGAGCUUGGUGUUUUUAUUUGUUUGAAGUCAAAUAUGUCAUCCAUUAUUGUAGUUGACAGAUUCAUAUAAUCGACCAAGACCACUAACAUUUCCUUAAUAAAGGAUACUUUAAAUUUGGUGGCUUGAGUUUAAGGUUAUUUGACUGAUUUGCCUUCAUUGGCAACUGAGAGAGCUGCAACUACUAAAGAAAUCUUAGUUUCCAAAGUUGGUGAUACUUCUUCAUCUAUACUACAACCCACAACACCUUUGAGUACAGGUUAGUUGGCACUUGUCGUCUAUACAUUGGUACCUACAACUUUAAUAGAGAUGAUGAAGAAGAAUUAGGUUAUACUUAAUGCAUGGAUUAAGAAGUUAGAAGUAAGGUGAAUCCCUAGAUAGAGCAUAAAAUUAAGGAAGUGCUACGAGGAAUACAAACCCAUCUUGAUAGUUUUAAGAGACAAAUAAUAGCUAAGCUAGUCCAGGAUUCUAAUUUAAGCACAGUCACUAUUGAGUGAGGUGAAUUAAAGAAUUGAUAAAGGAGCUUUAUAAAAGGAAGCCUUUCAUUAUGCAAUCUAUGUCGCUCCUGACAUUUAUAGAUUUUAGUGUUAAUAUGGUUGUACUAUAUUUUUACACCAAGGCACUGUAGAUGGGGGGAGAGGAUAGGAAGAUAGAUAAGGUAGUAGAUAAAAUAAAGAAUGGUACACAUCCCUAUAAAUGGAGAAAAAUUAAAGCCAAAAAUGGAAAGAAGAAGAAUCAGAAGAAGAAGAGAAAAGAGAAGAUGAGUGGGAGGACCUUUGAGGUGCCUAGUUCAAAGAGGAGUAAGGUCUCUCCUGCUUAUAUUAAAACUAUAGUUUUUGAGGUUGUUAUUAAAGGUAGGGGAGGCAAAGAGAUCUCCCCUGUGAUGUCAUCAUUGAGUGUAUUAGCUGUCACCAGUGCCGACUUGACUAUAAGUUCCACAGCCACAGCCUAGGCCACAAGAGAUGGAGAAAAAAAAGGGGUUAUAUUUGUGACCCCUACUGAUCAUAGAAAACGGGCGUCAAGUGCACCACAAGUUUGUUUCUACCCUAAUUUUACAUUGUUUUCUUAUUUUAUGCAAUGGGAAUAUUGCAUGAUUUCUCAGUUGGGGGUGGGGUAUACCACAUUUGAAGGUUCUUAUUGUUAUGUUUCUUUUCCCUGGGAUGCAUUAAGUUAGAAUCGACAUGUUUAGGAAUUUUAUUUUUGUUUUUAUGUUACUUUUUGUACAUUUUGGGUAAUCUAUAGAAAAAUAGGACAGAUUUGUGCAGUCAAAAUAAAAGAGUAUGCAAUCUCUAGUUUUAAUGUGUUUAAAUUGAUACCCCUCCAUAAAAUUUUGUGAUGUUUUUGUUUUCUUGUGUGCUUAUCCUAAGCUAUGACCAAUGUGAAUCUUAUUAUGGCAUUAGAAUUAUGAGCAUGAUACCUAUAGCCUAACUUGCUUGAACCAUAUAGGUAGUGACUGAGUAUAUAGCCUUAAGCUAGGUGUGCUAUGAGGUUUACCUAGUCAUAGUAUGUGUGAUCUAGAACUUGCCUAGUUAGUCUCGCCCAAGUUGAAGGUAGGUCAGUUAGAAAAGGAUUGUAGGUCAUUCUUGAAUAAGCCCACUAUAAACCUAAAAAGCCUAUCAAAUGAAAAUAAUAUCCCUUGAUCACAAAAUUGAGCCUAAAUAGAUCUUUUUCUUGAACUAGCCUAUCCACCUUCCAAUUUAUUUACAAUGAACCUUUUUUUGCCCUGGUCCCUUCUUGGAAAUAGUGUACCUUAAUCUAGGCAAAUCAUCUAAGUGGAGAUUAUCUAUCAUCGAGGUGUGUGAAAGAAAUCAGGUAUGUAGAAGAAGUUGGUAAAUGAAAAAAGGGAUUCAGGUGCAAUCUUUUGUAAAGUUAAUGAAAAGAAAAAAGAAAAAAUGAGAAAAUUAAAGAAGAAAAAGUUUGCAAAAGAAAUAACAGAAAUAGAAAUGAAGAAGCAAAAAAAAUUAAAGCUAAGGUCCAAAAGAGUUAAAAAGGGGAUAAAAGUAAAGAAAGUAGAAAAGUGGAGCCAAAGGAAGUAUAUUGCUAAGGACGAAUAGUCACUUGAUCCAUAUGUACCAAACUCAUUCCCAAGCCUAUAUUAAAAGCCAAAAAGUCUGAUUGUAAUCCUAGUAAGUGUGAGUGUUUAUACUUAGUCUUUGUCUUGAUAUUCGUUACUUAUUCUAAGCCUGAGGGUCUUCUUUAAUAUGAGGGCAUUGGGGUGCAUCAUAGUUGUUGCUUGUUUGGUUAGUGUAGUUUGUUUGUUUGCUAGGCUGUACGAUGAUAAUUUAAUGUUAUUUCUUGAUCCCAUUGUGUCAUGGUAAGGGUUUGUGUACAUAUAAAGAGUAUUAGUUUUAAUGAUAUUUGAAAGUGUUCAACUUGGUUUUUGAUUCAUGCAUUCUUAAGUUGAGUUUUGAAAAAUAUGACUGCCUAGUACACUUAGUUUUCUCUUGGUUAAGCAACGUUUAAUUUAGUUUUUGUUUUGUUUUGUUUUGUUUGCCUAAGGACAUGAAAAUAUUCUAAGUUAAGAGUGUUGAUGUUCCAUGAACAAUGAUGUGGUUUUAUGGCAUUUCUAGGUAAAACGGGUCAAGAGAAGUAAAGUUCAAUCCUAGUGCCUCUCUUAUAUUGAUUACAAAUCCAACAAAAUCAUCAUUUGCUGUGACGACCCGAUUUUCUGGAACCGAAAUGUCACACGGUUCUCAUGAUCCCAAAGGACCACAAACUAACCCUCUACUGAUAUCUGUACUUGAGCACUACAUAAUAUAGAUAAUAAAUGCAGAAACUGGCCAUAAGGUUCAAAACAUCUAAAAAUACUCAAAACUGAAAAUUGAAUACUGAUACAUCUGUCUAAAAAACCUCUAAACUGCCUGAACUGUGGAGUUGAUGGGACAUGCCCCAACUAACUCCGUCUACUAAAACUAAACUAAGUCUGAUACGAUAGUAAAAAAAAUAAGGAUCAUUCUCAAAUAAAGAAAACUCAUUGCUACAUCUACUGCUGCUGACAGGGACUGAGCUGCUAGGGGUACUCUGGAUCUCGGCCUCUGAACCUAUGGUGUCAAAUAAAACACCAUAGCACAAAUGCGUCAGUACGAGAAUAUACCAAGUAUGAAGAUGAGGUAAGGCUAAAUGCAAGGGCUUAUGCAUGAAUAAUUACUUAACUGAAUAACAAUGAGAGUACUAAAUGAGAACACAUACAUGAAUGCACAAAUCAUAACUAAAAACAUCGCAACUCAGAAUACAAAAACUCGGAUACUGCUUUACUAACAUCUGAAAUCACUACUAAUACUGAGAUACUGAACAACUGAAUCUUCUGUUAUAGAACACGGAUUACUGAAAUUGAGAUCAGUCCCAUCCAGUGAGUGAUCUCAAAAACUCAUAAUAUUGAAGUUGAUUAACUAAAUCUACUCAUAUGCUGAGCUUACUACUCUCGACUGACUGAAUCUAAGAUUAAACCUUUCUAACGGAUGAUCCCUGAAUCUACUAUCAAUGAUAAGAAAAAGAUUAUGUCUGAGAUCAACCCUAUCUAGUGGAAGAUCUUUGAAUCUGAUAAUGAGAAUACUCAACUAAAUCUGAGACUGAGAUCAAGCCUAUCUAAUGGGUGAUAUCUGAAUCUGAUAAUGAGCUUCUCAACUAAAUCUGAGACUGAGAUCAAGCCUACCUAAAGGGUGAUCUUUAGAUCUAAUAAUGAGAUUACUCAACUGAAUUUGAGACUAAGAUCAAGCCUAUCUAACGAGUGAUCUCUGGAUCUGAUAAUGAGAUUACUCAACUGAAUCUGAGACUGAGAUCAAGCCUAUCUAACAGGUGACCUUUGGAUCUGAUAAUAAGAUUACUGAACUGAAUCUGAGACUGAGAUUAAGCCUAUCUAACUGGUGAUCUCUGGAUCUGAUAAUGAGAUUACUCAACUAAAUCUAAGACUGAGAUCAAGCCUAUCUAACGGGUGAUCUUUAGAUCCGAUAAUACUGAUACUGAAUAACUUUAUAUGAGACCAUGCCUAUCUAGCGGGUGGUCCAUGAAUCAAUGGAACUAUCUGAGUUUCUUACUAAUAAAGGUGACUGUAUCUGAUAGACCUAAUUUUUGAGUUCUACUCUAAAAACUGAUAAUGAAACUACAACUGUGAGAAUGCUCACUUAAUCGACAUACCCCGAAUCUGAACUGGUGGGGUCUAAACUGUAACCCCAGCUGGAAGGGUGUCAAUACCGUACCACAGGUAAAGACCUUUCUAUUCAAGCCUCUCUAAUAGGUGACCCUCACAAGAAGUUAACCCUAAGGCAGUAUAAUAUUCAAGCCUUUUUCUAACGGGUGACUCCUGCAUCUUAUGCUGGAUAUGUAGUUCUAGAGUUCAGGGAUUGCUCCUAACGACUCUGUCUCUCUAACGGGGUGCCUUUAUCCCUAGAAUCUCUCAAUGCAAGCUCCUACUCCCAACUGAAAGACUCAGAAUUGAUUCUCAACUAAACUUAAACUGAGCCGAAUCUGAUACUGAUCAUGUUUCUUGAGUAAUAUGACUGAGUUAUGCUGAAUUCACUUUGAUUAGAUAUAAAUAGGGGCUAGAAAGAGUGGGAAAAGGACCAAAAUUCCUUUUAAAAUUGAGUUAAAAAUAUAAAACUGGGGUUGCGAUGGUUCGUCGGUAGUCUGACGGUCCAUCGGAUCGUCUGCCGUACGUCAGUUCAAAAAAUAUCACACUACCUUGGUAGUAAUAGUUUGACCAAUGGUCCAUCGCAAACUCGAUGGUCCGUUGGAUCGUCCGUCGUACGUUGGCCAAGAUGAGGCCACACUACCUCAACGACGACUGUCUUAGCGAUGGUCUAUUGCAGCCUUGAUGGUCCAUCAUCUUGGCCAUUGUACUUGGGCCAAAAAAAAGAGUUACUACCUUGGUUGCAAUGGUUUGGGCGACGAUCCAUCGCAAGCUCGACGGUACGUCAACCUAGCCACUGCAAAUGGACGAUUCCUACUACUUUCUAUAAAAUGGCCAUAACUUCUUCGUUCGAUGUUGGAUUUUGACAAAAUUGGUAUUGACAAAAAGCUUAUUCAAUUAUCUACUUGAAAAAAUUUUGAUAUUAGGGAAAUUCUACGCGGUUCAAAAUUUUUCUCACUUGGGAAGGCACCUCUCAAUCUUUUAGAACCGGAUUUACACUUUACUUGACAUGCUCUAAGGCUCCGACUAUGAGAGAAUUUUUGGGGGUCUUACAAUAUCUCCUACUUGAAAACAUUCUUCAUCGAAUGUCGCUCGAUAGGCUAAGAAUAUUGAUCAACUAAACUUAGUCCAGGAACAAGAGCAUCUAAAACAUGACUACGCAACUGGAACUACUGAUAUGCUAAGCUCUCAUACUGGACAUGCAUAUCUGAUGCAUGGAAUACUCGACUGAAGCUACUCAUAAGCUGAAUUCUCAUAACAGACUUGUAUAUCUGAUGCAUAGAUUCGUAACUGUGCUGGUCUCAUGAAUGCACGACUGAAUACACUAAAAAACUUAACUCUUCUACUGAACAUGCAUACCUAAUGCAUGAAUGUCUGACUGAAUUGACUCUCAAAAGCAUGACUGGCUAUGCAAUAAUAAUUGAUGUUAACUUCAUGAGGAGAGUAUGAACAUGCAACUGGAUGAGUCUAACGACAUGAAAGCAUCGUAAUAUCAUGGGGUAUCUCCCCCUUGGGACUCUAUGUCCCUCUAAACACACUUCGCUGAAAUACUGGGGUGGUGCAUGGGGCACCUACGAACUCGGUCAUGAUUGACAGACUAAGAUCUGAAACUAAUGCGUGACUCAUAUAGAAAUAUAAGCUCAAAAUAGGAGCAAAGUAUCUAACAAUGCAUAUCAUAAAUAUGAAGGACUCAUAACAUACUCGAAACUAUAUCAGUGAACCUUUUCUGAUCAUGAUGGGUCUGAAGCACAUGAAAUCUGUUCUGACGCUGACUACUAUAGGCACUGGAAGGGGCACUUUGCUGAUAAAACUCUCUACCCCUCUAGGCUAGCACUCUACAUUCUCGUAUUCUAUGGCCUGGAUUACCACACCCAAAGCACACAUCACUACCGGCUCUACACACACCUAGAUGGCUCUUGCCCCUAGGUGCCUCUUGCCACACUCUCCACAAAUCGGGUAGGUAUGAACACCACUAGCACUACUCUGGGCUUUGGAGCCUAGCACCCCAUCAUAACUGACAUCCCCAAACUUUGGUGUGGGUACACUAGCUAAGGAUGGAGCUGGGACUGAAAACCUCUAGCUAUGCCUAGAACGGCUACCACUUUGGAACCCUUCCUGAGAGAAACCAUGACUGCCUACUCUGGCUCUCUUACUCACUCUCUUUUAUUCUUUAGUAUUAUCUACCUCAAUCUACUGUGCAUGCAUCAUCAGUCUAGCAAGGUCCAUAUCUCUAUUGAGCAUAGUAGCCCUACACUCCUUCAAUACUAACCCAAAUACACUAGUCACAAACUUACUCAUACUCACUCUAGGGUCAGCUAUCAAGUCGGGAGCAUACUUAGCUAACUGGUUGAACUUAAGACAAUACUCCUUCACUGUCAUGAAGCCUUGCCUUAGGUUCAUGAACUCUUCUACCUUUGCCUCUCUCAUCUCUAGUGGGAAAAACUUAUCUAGAAAGGAAUCCUAAAACUCCUGCCAAGUCACGGGAGUUGCAUCCUCCCCUCUACUCUUAUUCCAUAUCACUACCCAAUUAUGAGCAAUAUCCUUCAGUCUAUAGGAUGCUAACUCUACACUCUUCUCCUUAGAAACAUGCAUAAUCUGGGUGAUUUUCCUUACCUGCUACUGACCCAAAGAAUUCUGGCAGGCCCAUCCUCAUGAAAUCUCUAAUUCUAGCUAUGGCUGAACCCCCAUCUUACUGAGGUAGGGCCAUAGCCUGAUGGUUCCCCUGAACAUUAGUCAUCAUAGCUUAUGCUAGUGCAUGAAAAGCUGCCCAAAACUCGACGUGUAACACACUCUCAUUCUCAGGAUCUACAGGAUGAGGUGGUUGGUCACCAACUCUAGAGACAUUAUCUCUGUGAGGAGGCAUACUCUAUAAUUGGAAGAAAGAGGUGUAUUAAACUGAGGAUCAACAUGAGCUCAUACUCACCCACAUGAUAUGAACACUAAAAGAAGGGAAACUGCUCCUAAAUCAUCUUAUAGCCUCUUGUACAUAAAUUUGAAGCACAACACACCCAUGCACAAGACUCUACUAGAUGUGACUUUUCAGACUCCCUAGGACACUAUUGAACCUUAGGCUCUGAUACCAAGAUUGUAAUGACCUAAUUUUCUAGAACCGAAAUGUCACACGGUACUCAUGAUCCCGAAAAACCAUAAGCUAACCCUCUACUGAUAUCUAUACCUGAGCACUGUAUGAUAUAGAUAAUAAAUGCAAAAACUAGUCAUAAGGUUCAAAAUAUCUAAAAAUACUCAAAACUGAAAACUGAGUACUAAAACAUCUGUCUAAAAAGCCUCUAAACUGUCUAAACUGUGGAGUUGAUGAGACAUACUCCCAAUUAACUCCGUCUACUAAAAAUAAACUAAGUCUGGUGCGAUAAUUAAAAAAAUAAGGAUUAUCCUCGAAUGAAAAGGACUCACUGCUACGUCUACUGCUGCUAAUAGGGACUGAGCUGCUAGGGGUACUCUGGAUCACAAGCCUUUAAACCUAUGGUGUCAAAUAAAACACCAUAGCAUAAAUGCAUUAGUACGAGAAUGUACCGAGUAUGAAGAUGAGUUAAGGCUAAAUGCAAGGGCUUAUACAUAAACAAUUACUUAACUAAAUAACCAUGAGAGUACUGAAUAAGAACACAUGCAUGAAUGCAAAAAUCAUAAUUGAAAACAUCACAACUCAAAAUACUGAAACUGAAUACUGCUUUACCAAUAUCUGAACUCACUACUAAUACUGAGAUACUAAAUAACUAAAUCUCCUGAUAUAUAAAACCGAGUACUAAAACCGAGAUCAGUCCCAUCUAGUGAGUGAUCUCAAAAACUGAUGAUACUGAAGUUGAUUAACUAAAUCUACUCAUAUCAAUGACUGAAAGCUGAGCUUACUACUCUCGACUGACUGGAUUUGAGAUCAAACCUUUCUAACGGAUGAUCCCUGAAUUUACUAUCAAUGAUAAGAAAAAUAUUAUGUCUAACAUCAAACCUAUCUAGCGGAAGAUCUCUGAUCUGAUAAUGAGAAUACUCAAUUGAAUCUGAGACUGAGAUCAAGCCUAUCUAACGGAUGAUUUUUGGAUCUGAUAAUGAGAUUACUCAACUAAAUCUAAGACUGAGAUCAACCCUACCUAACAGGUGAUUACUGGAUCUGAUAAUGAGAUUACUCAACUAAAUCUGACACUAAGAUCAAGCCUAUCUAAUGGGUGAUCUCUAGAUCAGAUAAUGAGAUUACUCAACUAAAUCUGAAACUGAGAUCAAGCCUAUCUAAUGGGUCAUCUUUGUAUCUGAUAAUGAGAUUACUCAACUGAAUCUAAGACUGAGAUCAAGCCUAUAUAAUGGGUGAUCUCUGGAUCUGAUAAUAAGAUUACUCAACUAAAUUUGAGACUGAGAUCAAGCCUAUCUAAUGGGUGAUCUCCAGAUCUGAUAAUACUGAUACUGAGUAACAUUAUAUGAAACUAUGCCUAUAUAGUGUGUAGUCCAUGAAUCAAUGGAACUAUCUGAGUUCCUUACUGAUAUAUGUGAUUAUUUCUGACAGUCUUAAUUACUGAGUUCUACUUUGAAGACUGAUACUAAAACUGUAACUGUGGGAGUGCUCACUUAACCGACAUGCCCUGAAUAUAAACUGGUGGGGUCUAACCUGUAACCCCAGCUGGAAGGGUGUCAAUACCAUACCAUGGGUAAAGACCUCUCUGGUCAAGCCUCUCUAAUGGGUUACCCUCAAAAGAAGUCAAGCAGUAUAAUAGUCAAGCCUUUUUCAAACGGGUGACAAGCCUUUUUUUAAUGGGUGACUCCUGCAUCCUGCGCUGGCUAUGCAAUUCUAGAGUUCAGAGAUUGCUCUUAACAACUCUGCCUCUCUAACGGGGAGCUGUCAUCCCUGCACUCGCUCAGUGCUAGCUCCUACUCCCAACUGAAACACUCUGAACUGAUUCUCAACUGAACUUAAACUGAGCCGAAUCUGAUACUGAUCAUGUUUCUCGACUGAUCUAACUGAGUUAUGUUGAAUUCACUUGAUUCUGUAUCUAACGAAAUAAUACUCAAUCUCAUUGUCUAACUAAAUGAUACCAAGCUCGAGAUAAAUUACUCGAAUACCGCUGAGGACUGAACUGAACACUUAAUUACUACUAGAUCUGAGCUGAGUAUUGAACUGAGGCUAGAAUACUAGCGACACUGAGAUUAAUAAGAUUACUGAGAUUUCUUACGUUCUGUAUCUGUUUAAGAGUACAGAGUUCUAUAACUCACUGAGUUCUAAGAAUCGUGGCAUGACUGAGAUUAUCGAGAAAACUGAUACUGGCUCUAGACUGCAGCUAAUUUAUCGGGUAUAAAUACCCCCAGGACUCGAUGAUAUAAAAUUAAAACAUAGCCAUUCUUGAAUAUUCAAGAUUAUGGACAUUCAUUCACCAUCACAAUCACUAAAGCAUCUCUUCAAGUAUUUAGAAAUCAUAAACAUGUGAUAGUAUAGGGAGAUAUACUAUUCGCUCAUACUCCAUUCAACAUGGUCUUACAUCAAACACUUAGCAUGUAUUAAAGUCUUAGCAUGUAUCGAAGAGUACAUAAUUGGGGAAUUUCAUGCUAUCAUAUCACAAUUCAUUCACUAAGGCUUUUCAACAAAUUCUUGGCAUGCAUGGGUUUGCACACAAUUGGGGAUUUCUAGUCCAUAUGUUAUAAUGACUCUAAUUCUUUCACAUAAGCAUUUUAUCAAACAUAUGGGGAGCAUGCUUUGCUUAAACAAUAAUUUCUUCACUUAAUUGAUGUGAACUCAUUACUUAAACAUCAACUUAAAAAGGGAUUAUCAUGAACAUCACAUGAAUAUCACAUACUAGGGUCAAAGCUUGAAACCUCAUAAACAAAACAUGAAUUAAAACUCGAUAAUAACAUGAACAUCAAUUUCAAAUCACAUGAAUCAUGAAAACUCAUAAACAUAAGAUCUUUGAAAUUUAGAAAAGGGUUCUUGAGUUUCUUGGAUAAAAGAGACCCAAGAAUCAACAUCUGCAUACCUUAGGAAACUCUUUCUUGAAAGCUCUUGGAGAGAUUCUUGAUUUCUUAAUUUCUCUUGAAUUUUCUUGAAUAAGAAAGAAGAGUUUUGAUUUUCGUAGAAACUCUAGUUUUUUAUGUUAAAGAUAAAGAAUGAAAUUGUGAGCCUUGAUCAGAUAUAAAUAGGGGCUAAAAAGAGUGGGAAAAAGAGCAAAAAGCCCUUUUAAAAUUGAGUUAGAAAUACAAAACCGUGUCUGCGAUGGUCAAAGUAGUCUAUCGAUAGUCUAACGGUCCAUUGGAUUAUCUAUUGUGACGGUCUGAGCGACGGUCCGUCGGAUCGUCCAUCGCACGUUGGCCAGAAUGAGACUACACUACCUUAGCGAUGAUGGUCCACUGUAGCCUUGAUGGUCCAUUGUCCUAGCCAUCGUAGUUGGGAUAAAAAAGGAGUUACGACCUUGGUUGUGAUAGUCUGGGCGACGGUCCAUCAACUCGGCUGUCGCACCUGGACGGUUCUGACUACUUUCUAUAAAACGGCCAUAACUUCCUCGUUCAAUGUUGGAUUUUGAUGAAAUUGGUAUUGACACAAAGCUUAUUCAAUUCUCUACAUUAAAAAAUUCAAUAUUAGGGAAAUUCUACGUGGCUAAAAUAUUUCUCACUUUGGAAUGCACUUCUCAAUCUUUUAGGAUCGGAUUUAUACUUCACUUGAUACGCUCUAAGGCUCAGACUACGAGAGAAUUUUGCGGGAUGUUACAUUUUCCACUAUUAGAAUUCUGAUUUACAAGUCCCUCUUUUUACUAGAGAUUAUUUACGAAUUGCUUAGAUAAAUACUUGAUGGAGAUUUUGACCUAUUCAUCAUGGGAUCGACCCUAACUUAGUUGAAUUUUAUAUUUGAUCAAAGAACACUUUAUAAUUUAUUUAGAGGUGUAAUUAGGCUAUAUCUAAAUGUAUCAUAAAUAUCCCUGAGCCUAUGUUACAUGCUAAGAAAAGUCCUAUAGUGAUCCCAGUCUAACUAACCAAAGAUAACAUGCAUAGAAAAUAAGGGCAAACCUUAUGUUAUUGCAUUGAUAACUUUUGAACUUUUUUAAGUAUGAGAGAUUUUAUGGAUAUGGUCCCAGUUUUAUCUUUAUCUUAUUUGAGGGACCUUCUUUAUGUGAGGGAAUAUUGGUAACAUCGUCUAGAUAUUGGUUGAUAGUAUGGUUGGUUAUUUUAUAAUAACAUGAUGUCAGUCCCUGAUCACUCAAUGUUAGCUUUAAAUAGUUUGAGUCACACACAUUGAUUUUAAAAACAUAGAGGGGUAAUCAUUUGUGAAAUUUAUUAUUGCUAAGUGCUCAUUAAAACUGUUGGAGGUUUUCUGAGUUUUGAUACCUAAGUGUGUGUAAAUAUUGAGUCUUGUUAGGAUGUCCUUUAUAAUUUCAGUAUUAUUUUAGUUGUUGAGGACCAAUAAGGAUUCUAAGUUAGGGGUGUUGAUUUGUCGGUAUUUAACGACACAUUUGAUACUUUAUAACUUUGAAUUAUUAUGAUUAUUAAGUAAUUUUUAUGGGAUUUGGUUGAUUUUUUGUUCUAUGUGCAGGGAAACAGCCUACAAACACAAAAAUUGGAGUUUUUAUUAAAAAAUACAAAAUAAUGAGUCAUCAAUGAUAAUGAAGGAUCGGGGACCAGAAUGUGGAUGUAGUGAAUGUUUUUGCCCAAAUAUCAAAUGAUAAGAUGGCGAGACGUCACUCCUAAUAGUGAAAUUGAGGAAAAGAGUGUAAAAGGUGAUGACCUAAACCAUGGCUCAUAUGAUGAACCAUCAACCAUGAUGAUGAGUUGUCAUCCUAAGCCAUGGGAUCUAGACAAGAGGAUUGGUAAUUAUGAGUUAAAACAAUGAUUCCCCAUGGUGAACCAUCACUCAAAUGAUGAUCUUUGGAUGCAAGAUGACCUUGUUUCCUAGUCCAAUUAGGAUUUUUUUGUAAAUGCUAUAAAUAUAUUUUUAGGUUUUUAUUUUGUUUUAUCAGACGGUAUUUUUAAAAAUAUACAAAAACACUCUCUUGUGACCUAUGUGUUCUUGCUUUCUUACUAAGUUCUUAAAAUAUUGAUUUUACAAUACAAGGCUAGUUUUAUUCAUCUUAUUCUCAUAAGUCUAUCUCUAUGGUUAUUAAUUUUCUUAUUGGUUUGUUUGCAAAGUUAUAAGAAGAUAAACCCUACAACUAGGGAUAUGGGAACAAUGAUAUAAUAGUGAUAAUAAGAUCACACAAAAGGUGGUUUUUAAUGGUGUUACAUACAUACAUUGAUAGUCUUUUCAUUUUGAAUACAUUUUAACGGUUGCAAAUGUCAGAUCUUGACUUAGAUUUAAACUUGUUUGACAAAAGAAGAAAAGAUCAAAAAAAGAAACUAGCAACAAAUAUUGAAGGCUUCUAACCUCAUCUAAUGGUUAGGGUUAUAACUAGAAUAGCCAACCUAAAAUAUCAAACACAAAUCAGUUGAUUAACAUUCAAAGAUGGAAAGGUUUUAGAGUUAUAUUUACCUAAUUAGGUCAGAAGACAUUUAGGUAAAGCUAUAUGUUUGUUGGUUUUGAAUGUGUGACAUCGAAAUGAAUCACCAACAAUAGUAACCUGUUAGCAUUUUGGAAUCAUGGUGAUCUAGUAGUCUCUAAUUACUAAAUUGACCCACUUAAACAACAUCAGUUCUCUGUUAUCUUAAUCAUUCAAUCCACUCAUAGUUCCAUAUGCAAUCUCCCCUUGAAAAUACCGACUAUCGAUUAAAAUAAUUAUUUUGGGCUUAUUUCUCAUCAUAUUCCUUGUGGGAUUCGACCCCAACCUAGUUGAGUUUUAUAUUUGACUAUGACUAUUUUAUACUUCAUAAGAAAGUGUAAUUUGGUUGUAUCAAUGACUUGCAUACCUGAUGGAAAAGUGUCUUUUGUGGAUUUUAUUAUUUAUGACUUGCAUACCCGAUGAGAAAGUGUUUUACUUAGAUUUUACUGAUUUACGACUUUUCAUACCCGAUGUGGAAUUGUUCAUGAUGGCUGAAUAGAAAAUGAUUCUGAAUGAAUUCAUGAUUUUCACGCUUGAAGAGAAAUUGUUUUGGUAGGUAUAUGGACCUCGCAAGUCCCAUAUGGGUGCCAGCUAGCUAUAGGAAAACGGGUAUAUACUGUAGCAUACAUUACAUCAUAUUUCAUUAAUCUCAUUAAUUCCAAUAGAUUGAUUUCAUUGUUGUUGUAUACCAUGAAUGGUGAAUUUUUACUAUUAUUCUGAAUUGACAAAUUGUGGAUUUGAAUAGUAUCAAUUUCCCUAUUAUUGUUUUUAUCUACUAGCUUAGGUGCGACUUUUCUGUUUGUAGUUUUCUCGACUAUUAGUGGUAGUAGUGAUUUAGAAGGUUCUUGUCAUCACUUUGAAUUAGGAUCAGUCAACGAUGCUACUGAGUACAUAUGAUUUGGUACUAACAUGUGUUUAUUUCUAUACUUUACGUAUAGAUGUGGAGACUACUAUUCCUGCACACUGAGUUUUGGUAUGUGUUUGGGUGUUUCUUGAGAUUCAGAGGUAGUGUCGAUUGAUUAUAGUGACUACCGAGAUCUUUUGAAUUUUUUUGUUAUAUUCUAUUAUUUCGAGAUACUAUAGACUUUCGAUGUAAUUUCCUUUUUCAUUACUCUUAGAGGCUUAUAACAUGUGACUAUCGAGUUUUGGGAUUAUUAUUGUUUUCCUAUAUCUUUGAUCAAAUACGGUUGAGUUCAAUUGAGAUUUAUCUUUAUGUUAUUACUUCUUUUUCUUAUUAUCUUGUUUAGUAUAUGUGUAUGUGUAGGGUUUGACUUACCUAUUGCGAGGGGAUGAUAAGUGACAUCACGGUCGAGUUUCGGAGUGUGAAACAAAAUAAGUGGCCCCUUUAUCUUUUUAUUUUAUCUAAAAAAGGCAUUUUACAUAAUCAAGAAAACAUUAAUAAUGUCUUUCAAUUUUACCCUUAUUUAAAUAAUAAAGUUUUAUAACCAAGAAACUACUACUUCAUUCUUUCAAUUUUACUUGUCACAAUUAAAAUUGACACGCUCAUUAAGAAAAUAAUAGUUGACCUGACUAUUACCACACUACCCCUAUUAAUUAAUGUUUAGUAUUGCAUCUUAGAAAAUAAUUUGAAAAAUUAAUAAUUAAUGUUAAAGGUAAAACAUGAAAAAAAAUUAAUUAUUUUUUCUUGAUAUGUUAAAGUGACAAGUAAAAGUGAAUGGAGCGAGUAAAUAGUUACAUUCUUUUUAAGGUAUUUAUUAAGAUUAAGUUGUUAAAAAUACAUUUUACUUUCUAGGAAUUACUUCCUCCAUUCCUUUAUAAGUUCUGCUUUUGGGUUGUGAUUUUGUUUCAAAAUAAAUGUUUAUUUAAACCUUCAAAGAUACUUUGAUAUAUAAUCUGCCUAAUAUGUCUUUGAGUUUAAAUAUAGUAACAAUGUCAACUUAAAUAGAGAAAAUUUAAUUAGAGGUAAGCUAAAAUACCUUUAAUUUUCUAGAAAUGAUUAAUUUAUUAAUGGGUGUGUCCAAGCCAAAAAUAACACUUAUUUAGAAAUAAAGGCAGUAGUAAUUUUCUUAAAGGGUGUGCUCACACUAAAAACAUCACUUACUUUAAAAUAGAGGAGGUAAUAUAUAAAUGUCAAACAUUAUUAUAUGAUUAUAAAAAUGUUGAUUACUCCUAGGGCUGGGCAUUAUUUUGAUAACACCAAAAAAUAAAUCAAAUCAAACCAAAUUUUAAUUUGGAUUAGUUUAUUGAUUUUUUAGUUUGGUUUCAAAUUAAGAAUUUACUCUUCUGUUUUUUUGGUUUAGUUUUGGAUUUAGAAAAAUAAAUUCGAUAAAUCAAAAAAAAUUAAAUUAUUUUAUAUACAUAUAUAAUAUUUAGAUUUAGAAUUAGAGUUUAAGUUUGAGUUUACCACUUUCAACCCAUUUUGUUAUUGCCUUUUUGUGUUAGGGUACUACCAUAUUUACGUAUUAUCCCAUUGUAUUUAAUUAUUUUCCCGUUAAUGGCAUUUUAGAUUUCAUAAUGAUUUAGUUUAUAUUUUAUGUUUGGUCAUUUUUUGAUAUACUUUUAACUAUAUGUUCUAAAGUUUUACGUGUGACUUAUAUUAUAAUGUAUUUUUAAGAGCUUCAAUAUUAUUACUUCUCCUUGCAUAUAAUGUUUUAUUUUAUUUUUCAAAAUGCAAAUGCAACUUUGAUUAUCUUAUUAAUUAUUAACACAAUCGAAUAGCCAAACUGAAAAAAAUGAAAUUGAAAAGAGGGAAGCAAACCAAAUCAGAUUUAAUUUGGUUGCACUUUUUUCAAAAUCAAAAAUCAAAAUUGAAUAACAUAAAACCAAAAUCGAAAGACCAAAUGCACACUUAACUACUCCCUCCUUCAUUUUUACUUGUAUAUACUAUUUUAAAAAUAAAUUUUCACUUCUACUUGUCACUUUUAAAUAUCAAAAAAGGAUAAUUAUUUUUUUCACAUUUAGAUUUAGAAUUAGAGUUUGAGUUUACCACUUUCGGACCAUUUAGUUAUUAUCUUUUUUUUUUUGUAAAAAUUACCUAUAUAACAACAUGUUUAUUGAUAUUUAUAUAAAAUUCCAACUUUUUUCAAAAUUUCUGAAAAUCCCAACUCUUAGCAUUUGAUGAUACAUAUAACUAAUAUGAGAUACAUCCUACAGAUACAUUUAAAAUUAAACUAAGUUGCAUAAUUUAAGGGAUGUAACGGCUAAACUACCUUUAAUGUAGCAAUUAACCUAACUAAUUAUGGUAAAAACACAAUAAAAUCCCACAAAAAAGGUAAUUUGUCUGUUAUACCACCUUUUAAAACAAAAUCCCUUCCAUGUUUAGUUUCCAGAUAUCAAAAAGUUCAUACGACAUUUUUUUUUCUUGAUUUUCUUUGCAAUGAAUAUUUCAGUGUUAGGUUGUUCCGGCUAGACAACUACAUAUUUACGAAUGCAUUAGUAUACUCUUUCAUGAAAAUAUUAUUACCACUUUAUGGAGUUUGAUGAACCUUGUAAGAAUUCCAUGCGAAGGGAAAAGAUACUUGGAAGCAAUCAUAAGGUGACAUGCUCAGUACUGUAGAGCAACAUACGACAAUGAGGGUCUAUUGAAGGUCAGUUAAGUUCCACACGAGAAGAUUUUAGUUGCAUUGCAACUUCACAAAAUUCUACUGAUUCAUAUAACCGAUUCAUAGAUCAAGGAGGUAACACUUAUAGCAGUUUCAACACUUCAUAGUGUUGAGUAGCUCCCCGUUGUGAUUUAAGAAUUGUUGAAUCAUUUUGAUUCUCCAAGUGUAUAUUCAUUUUGUAUUCAUAGAAAUGUCACAAUAAUUAUUAGGUUCAUAUCUUGCUUUAUUCAAUCUUUUCUUUGUUGAUACAAUUGCAAUUCACUGGUGUCGUGGAAUUUUAAUAAUGGAAAUGACAAGAUUUAACAUAUUUCAAGUGUAGAAAAUCUUGAAGUGAGCCUUUUUCAGUUUACAUUGAAUUGAUUUUGUCCGAAAGGCGUUUUACAAUCAAAUGCUAGUGUUGGAUAGUUUGACUAUACGUUCUUUCACCAAAGUUUCUACAAUUUCCCAAAAGUACAACUAAAUGAAUAAAUGUUAAUCAUAUAUAUAGAUUUGGGGAGCUGCCAACAACAAUGAAUCUUUUGCGCAUUGUUGAUAUUAAUAUAGUAAAAAUUACCUAUAUAACGACAUGUUUACUGAUAUUUACAUAAAAUCUCAAUUUUUUUCAAAAUUUCUGAAACUCGUGUCAAAAAAAUAAUAAAUAAGAUACUUGCAUAGCCAUCACGGAAAAUAUGUAAAAAUUUCACAGAUAAAGUAGAGCAUCUUUACCAUCAAACUAGUAAAUAUUUAUGCAAUCAUAGUUUUUAAAUGAGAUACAAACUAGUAAACAUUUAUGCAACCAUAGUUUUUAAACAAGAUACAUUAAAAACAUAUGAGAUACAAAAUAAAUCAACAUGUAUCUCGUACAACAUAACAUAAAUAUAUUAAAUGCAGUCAAUAUAGAUGUUACUAAAACCUGUGGCAAAAUAAUAAUACAUAAGAAACUUGAAGAGCCAUCAAGAAAAAUAUAUAAAAAAUACACAAAUAUGUUUGAACUACUUUUUCAUCAAAUAUUUUGUAAAAUUUCAAAAACAACACUUAAAGUGUAUAUAACAGCGAAAAGCAGUAACUCACUUCAUGAAAAGUUUUAAAUAUCCAACUAAUACACAACUAUUCAAUAUUCAAAACACAAUUUCUUUUCGCUGGUAUGAAACUGUUCCUUGGCCUCGGUGGAUCGUCAUUCUCACUAAUGUAUCCAUUCUCCACCUUUUGAGACCCAUACUUGCACAAAAAUAAUGCAUAUUUCAAACGAAUACGAAGUCCGCAAUCUAAGUCCACUUUAAUCAAGUGCUCUUUCCUUGUUAUGUUGCAUUCCCUGCUCCAUAAAAAAUAUUACAGAUACAGAUAAUACAACCUCCUCCUCAAUAUGUAUCUCAAAUCUUACUAACAUGUAUCUUCAAAAUGCUUAUUUCAAUAUAACUUAAAAUUACAAGAGAUACAUAUAAAUGCAUAAAGAAAUAAUCAGAGAUUUAAGAUAAUAAAAUAUGUAUCUUUAAGCUUAUAUACAUAUGUCUUUUGGGAUACUCAUUUAAAUGAAACUUAAAAAACAAUAGAUACAUAAAAAAAAUACAUAAACAGAAAACCAAAUGUACAAGAUAUUACAAUAUGUAUCAUUGAACUUACUAACAGUUAUCUAUUGGUAUGCUUAUUUCAAUAAAAGUUAAAUAAUAGGAGAUACAUAUAAAUGCAUAAAUAGUACACCAGUGAUACAAGAUAAUAUGUUUAUAUAAGCUUGUAAAUAUGUAUCUUUUGUUAUGUUAACUUCAAUAAUACUUAAAAACAUGAGAUGCAUAUAAAAUCAUAAACAAAUAACCAUAUAGACAAGAAAUUGAUAACGUAUCAUGCAUGUCUAAAUAUGUAUCCCGGCCUAAUAUUUAUCAGAUCUGGACAUGUAAAUACCUUUGGAAGUUCAUCUUUAUAAAUAACUUCAACAACUCUUCUUCUUUUAGCGGGAACUUUACCUCCAGGAUUGUUAGAUUCUCUUUUCUUAGAAACAUGAACUUCUUUUUUCUUAUCCUUCUUGGCAUGCUUUUCCCCCAAUUUCUUCAUAGUAUGUGGAUCGUUUCUAUACUUGGAUCUAUUUUCAUUAAAAUCAUCAAAUUCGUAGUCAAAACUACUAGGAAUAAAGUUUAGAACUUCUUCAUAUUGUUUGAUAAUGUGUAAUUGAGAGAUUCCAAGACUAAACUAUGGUCCCAAAUCUCUAUUCAUUAUGUUAAUUCAAACAAUAUAGACUGAAAAAUGAUAAUCAAAGACUUUGUUCAACAAAUAUCGGCAAAAAAUCACUUAGAAAAAACACUUUCAAAUUAUUGAUUUCUUAAAAAAAAUCGUCAGAUAAGAUUAGAAAAAAUUGGAUAUGAUUUUAGGGGGGAAAUUUACCUUAUUAGAGAAAAAGAAGGGAUUGAAUCGCCGCUGAAAUAAUAGCGUAGAAUAAGGAGGAGAACCGUUUUUAAUUUGGUAAAGUAAAGGAGUAAGAUGAGGUGUCUUUAACAUGUAUCUCUACUAUUAGUAAAAGUAGUAAAUGUUGAGAUAUUUGUAAUAUUUUUAAAGUGGAGGGAUUUUUAGUAUUUUUGUAACAUAAGUUGUUCUUUUAGGUAAUUUUUCCUUUUUUAGGGUACGACCAUAUUUAUGUAUUAGCCUAUUGCAUUUAAUUAUUACCAAGUUAAUUGCAUUGGAAUUUUCAUGAUCAUUUAGUUUAUAUUUCAUGUUUGAACACCUUUUGUAUACUUUUACCAUUGUGUUUUAAAGCUUUACUCGUGACUUAUAUUAGAAAAUAUAUUUAAGAGCUUCAGUAUUAUUACUUCUUAUAUAUAAUUUUUAUUUUUUUCUAGCAUGUAAAUAUAACUUUGAUUAUGUUAUUAAUUAUUGACAUAAUUAAACAGCCAAACCGAAAAAAUGAAAUCAAAAAGAGAAAAGUUGAACCAAAUCAAAUUUAUUUUGGUUCGAAUUGGGUUACUGUAACACCCCGAUUUCCUGAUCCGGAAUGCUACAUGGUGCUCAUGACCUCGAGGGACCACAAGCUAAUCCAUGUCUGAUAUCUGUACCUGUAUAUUGCAAAUCAUGAGGUAAUAAUGCGGAAUACAUAGAACUGUAAGGCUAUAAGGUUCAACUGAAUACAAUCAUGUGGGUGAAAAUACCCAAAACAACUCAAUCUGAAAGCUAAAUCUGAACAUAAAUCUGAAAGUAAAUUCGAAAGCCUCUAAACUGUCUGAAUAAGGAGUUGAAGGAACAUAUCUCCAACUAACUUUGUAAAACUAAACUGAAAAAUAAAUAAAUGAAUCAAAUUAUACUAUCCUCAAAUCAAUGAAGACUCACUGUGUCUCUGCGACUGGAAUGCUGCCGCUACUGCUGGGCUGGAGCUCGUGUCUCGGAACCUAUGGUGUAACAUGAAAAGAAAGCACCAUAGAACAAAUGCGUCAAUACAACUGGAGUACUGAGAAUACGAGGAAGGUAGGCUGAACAUAAAGGGUUUCAUGCAUGAACAACACUGACUGACUAAUAUGAACGUGGGAGUGCAAACACAUAUAUAUAGAAACUGGGACUAUGAAUACGUGAUAGCAUAACCUAUAAGCUAAUACAUGGUUUACUGAUAACUGUCAUAACUGAUACUGAAACUAAUAACAUGGACGACUGUAUCUGACGGUCCUGUAUAUACAGAAAUCUGAAGAACGCCCUGAGUUCUUUCACUGAGACUGAUACUGAAACUGAUAACAUGGACGACUGUAUCUGACAGUCCUGUAUAUACUAAAAUCAAAAGAACACCCUGAGUCCUUUUACUGAGACUGAUACUAAAACUGUGAGAAGUAGUGUUUAGUCGGCAUGCCCCAUGUAUGCCGUUAUGGCUAAGCUGGGGUCCAAUCUCUGCCCCGAUUGGAGAGGUGUCAAUACCGUGCCACGGGUAAGGACAAUCAGUGAAUGACCCUUAUCUGGCGGGUACUCAAUGAGAAUGGUGGGAACCCUAAACUGACGGGUUAAGCCACCUCAUCAACCCGAAUCUGAUAGGUUAAGAUGUCUCAACCUACGCUAGCUACGUAGUUCUGGAACACAAGGAUUGCUACUAAGAAUCACACCCUAAACUGGCGGGUGAGGUCCUAUCCUUGGGUUUACUCGGUGCUAACCUCUACUCCUAUCUGGAGGGAUUGGACUUGAAUAACUGACUGCGCAUAAAUUAAUCUUACUGAAUUCUGUUGACUGGAGGAAUGUUACUGAUAUCUAACAACUGACUAAAAUCAUGAGGUUUUCCUGAGUCAUAUGACUGACUGAAGUCUAUGGAAUCAUAGCUUGAGUUCGGAUAUCGUGAAACAUGACAUGUAUCUAGGCACACAACUAUACUUUUUGGUUACAAGUACCUCUAGGACUCGAUGGAAGGAAACUGACACACAUGACUGACUUGAUCAUAAGAGUAGAGUCCAUAAUUUAUAAUAUCAUAAGUAGGGAUCUCAUACUAUGAAUGGUUAUCAACAAUGUAUUGCAUGGAAAGGAUUUCAUAUCACAUGGAAGUACUUGCACAAUCUUAAUAUCAAUGUUCAUUGAAUAAUCAUAUUGGCAACACAUACCAAUAGCAUGGAAGUUCAUAUGGAUUGCAUGGUUAUCAUACAUCUUGUUCAUAAGUAGGAUUUGCAAGUAAACAUAGCAUAAUCUCAUAUGAAUAGUUCAUGAGUAUUCCAAUGACAUUUACAAGGUACAUUAACAGCAUAGAAGUCAUUGGAACAUAAGGGCAUAUCACGAAUCCUUCACUUAGUCACAAUUUAGCUAUAUUGCAUGAUUUCUAGUUCCUUAGGCAUUUUAUCAAACACCUUACAUGCACAUCUUAAGCAUAGGUGAAUUCAUCAAAUUAUACAUAAUGAACAACCAAAUUUACAUGUUUCCAAAUCAUAUGAUAUCAUGAAUUCACAANNNNNNNNNNNNNNNNNNNNNNNNNNNNNNNNNNNNNNNNNNNNNNNNNNNNNNNNNNNNNNNNNNNNNNNNNNNNNNNNNNNNNNNNNNNNNNNNNNNNNNNNNNNNNNNNNNNNNNNNNNNNNNNNNNNNNNNNNNNNNNNNNNNNNNNNNNNNNNNNNNNNNNNNNNNNNNNNNNNNNNNNNNNNNNNNNNNNNNNNNNNNNNNNNNNNNNNNNNNNNNNNNNNNNNNNNNNNNNNNNNNNNNNNNNNNNNNNNNNNNNNNNNNNNNNNNNNNNNNNNNNNNNNNNNNNNNNNNNNNNNNNNNNNNNNNNNNNNNNNNNNNNNNNNNNNNNNNNNNNNNNNNNNNNNNNNNNNNNNNNNNNNNNNNNNNNNNNNNNNNNNGAUUGGGUUGGGCGGCGCCUAACCAAUCGCCUAUGCUUGGGUUAGGCGGCGCCUAAACAAUCGCCUAUGCUUACUGUCUUUUACGAAAAUGGGCAUAACUUUUCGCUCGGGUAUUGGAAUAAGGCGAAAUUGGUAUCGUUGGAAAGCUGAUUUGAUUCUCUACAAUUUAGUGGGUCUAAAUCAUCAAAAAUACCAAAUUAGCAUUGAUUUAUACUCGUUAUAAGAUGAACCUUGCAAAAUUGAACACUAACACUUGAUGGAUUCAAAAACUCUUAGCUUGUAUUACCUUAAGUGACUCAUAUGAACAUGCUUAAUGCAUCAUAAGCUAUCCUAUCACUAGGAUAUUUAUUGUAAGUCAUGUACUCAAGUAUGAAUCACAGGAUAGGAGAUUUCAUACGUAGGAAUACUUAUUUAUUUCAUAGCUUAGAAACAUGCAGGGUAUUAUAAUAUCUCCCCCUUGGGAACAUUCGUCCUCAAAUGAGAAUUUACUGAGAAGGGAUACAAGACAAUAUAACCUAAACUGAACAUGAAAAACUGAAACUCGUUCUCAUGACUGACAUACUAAACAUACUGAACUCACGUAUAUCUGAUGCACGGAUAACUAACACAUGAAUGCAUGACUGAGUAUGAAAUGGUUAAUAGGUACCAAGUUUAUACUAGAAACAUGAAUAUGAACUGAAUAAGAUUAAGGAGAACCGUUACCUUAAGCUUGAUCUAAAUUGGCGGGGAAGAGGUGAGGAUACUUGGUGUGCAUAUCUACUUCUGCUUCCCUAGCUCCCUCAUGAGACUGAUUUUGCCAAAGAACCUUAACUAGAGGGACUUUUUUGUUCCUCAAUCUACGAGUCUGAUAAUCUAAGAUUUGGACUAGAAUCUCUUUAUAAGAGAGGCUGUUCUAAAUGUCGAUGCUCUAAAUAGGGACAACAACUGCUGGGUCACCUAUGCACUUCUUUAGCAAAGAGACAUGGAAGACUGGAUGGACUAAGGCUAGAUCUGAAGGCAACUCAAGCUCAUAAGCUACCUUGUCGAAGCGAUAAAGAAUUCUGAUGGGACUGAUAUACCGGGGACUGAGUUUCCCUUUCUUGCUGAACCUCUUCACUCCCUUCAUGGGAGAGAUCUUAAGAUAGACAUAGUCAUUGACCUUAAACUCGAGAUCCUUUCUACGAACAUCUGCAUAGGACUUCUGUCGGCUCUGAGCAGCCCAGAGUCUCUCUCUGAUCAACUGAACUUUCUCUAAGGCGUCGAGUGCUAAGUCAGGACCUAUGAUUAAGGCCUCACUAACUUCAAACCAACCAAUCAGAUAUCAUCAUAUCCUACCAUAGAGAGCUUCGAAUGGAGCCAUCUGAAUACUAGAAUGAUAGCUAUUAUUGUAUGCAAACUCAACCAAAGGCAAGUGGUCGUCCCAACUUCCCUUAAAGUCAAUUGCACAUGCCCUUAGUAUAUCUUCAAGAGUCUGAAUGGUCCUCUCUGCUUGACCAUCUGUCUGAGGAUAAAAUGUUGUGCUGAGAUAGACUUGGGUACCGAGACCCUUUUGGAAUGCUUUCCAAAAGUGAAAAGUGAACUGGGUACCUCUAUUUGAGAUAAUAGAUAGUGGAACACCGUGUAACCUGACUAACUCCCUGAUAUAGAGUUUGGCAUAAUCCUCAGCGGAAUAAGGAGUACGAACAGGAAAGAAAUAAGCUGACUUGGUUAUUCUAUCUAUAAUGACCCAGACUGAAUCAUGCUGAUGAUGAGUUCUAGGCAAACCCGUCACGAAGUACAUGUUAACUUCUUCCCACUUCCAAGUAGGAAAGGUGAACUCUUGCAUAGAACCACUAGGUUUCUAAUGCUCUAUCUUAACCUACUGACAUAUAGAGCACUUAGCCACAAACUCUGCAUUAGAUCUCCUGUAUGUCGCGGUACAUCUUAGUGGCCCCUGGAUGAAUAGAGUAUCACACACCAUGUGCUUUUGGAAGAAUUAGCUGCCUCAAUUCAUCUACACCUAAAACAUAUAGAUGACCCUGACAACGAAGAACACCAUCUCCCCCUUGGGAGAAAACCUCGACUUUCUAAUUCUGAACUGACUCUUUGAGCUUGACAAGGCUAGGAGCCCUGUCUUGUUUCUCUUUCACCUCGAAAACUAGAGAUGACUCUGAACUACUAUGAACACAUACACCACUCUCUGAAGAGUCGACUAAGCAAAUGCCUAGUCUAGCAAGCUGAUGGAUCUCCUGAGCCAUCUUUUUCUUACUAUCCUCAAUGUGAGAAAUACUACCCAUGGAGAGUCAACUGAGAGCAUCGACCACAACAUUGGACUUGCCCGGAUGAUAAAGAAAACUCAUGUCAUAAUCCUUUAGGAGCUCUAACCACCUUCUUUGUUAAAGAUUGAGAUCUUUCUAGGAAAAGACAUAUUGGAGGCUUUUAUGGUCUGUGAAGACAUCUACAUGAACUCCAUAGAGAUAAUGCAUCCAAAUCAUCAAGGCAAAAACUACCGCUGCUAAAUCAUGAUCAUGAGUAGGAUAAUUCUUCUCAUGUGGAUUUAACUGUCUGGAGGCGUAGGCUAUGACCUUACCAUGCUGCAUGAGGACACGACCUAAACCCACUCUGGAUGCAUCACAAUAGACUACAAAACCAUCUGAACCAUCUAGAAUAGCUAGAACUUAAGCGGAGGUGAGUCGAGUCUUCAACUCUUAAAAGCUCUUCUCACAUGAAUCUGACCAUUGAAACUUAAUCUUCUUCUGAGUCAAUAUGGACAUGGGAGAUACAAUAGAAGAAAAUCCCUCGACAAACCGUCUGUAAUAGCCAGCCAAACCCAAGAAACUCCUAAUAUCUGAUGGAGAUACUAGUCUGGGCCAGUUUCUUACUGCCUCAGUUUUUUGAGGAUCUACUCUAAUGCCAUCACCAUAAACAAUAUGGCCAAGGAAUGCUACUGAUCGUAGCCAAAAUUCGCACUUGCUGAACUUAGCGAAUAACUGGUGAUCCCUGAGAGUCUGAAGAACAAUCCUGAGAUGAUCUGCAUGAUCAUGCUCUGUGCAAGAAUAGACCAAAAUAUCGUCUAUAAAGACUAUGACAAAUAUGUCCAAGAACUGCUUGAACACACGGUUCAUCAAAUCCAUAAAAUCUGCAGGGGUAUUGGUAAGGCCGAAUGACAUGACAAAAAUUCGAAGUGACCAUAUCGAAAAUAGGGAAAGCUGUCUUCAAAAUAUCACAUUCUCUAACUCUGAGCUGAUAAUAGCCUGAUCUGAGGUCUAUCUUGGAUAAGUAACUGGCAUCCUAAAGUUGGUUGAAUAGAUCAUUAAUCCUGGGAAGAGUAUAUCUGUUCUUGACCGUGACCUUGUUGAGUUGACGAUAAUCAAUACACAUCCUGAGAGAACCGUCUUUCUUGCACAUGAAUAAUACUGGCGCACCCCAUGGGGAAGCGCUGGGUCUGAUAAAUCCCUUAUCUAAGAGAUCCUUCAAUUGAUCUUUCAGUUCCUUGAGUUUUGUUGGUGCCAUUCUGUAUGGUGGAAUAGAAAUAGGUUGAGUAUCCGCAAGAAGGUCUAUGCCGAAGUCUAUUUCCCUUUCGGGAGGAAUGCCUGGAAGAUCUUUGGGAAAGAUAUCUGAGUAUUCAUUAACAACAGGGACUGUUUCGAGGCUGGGAUAUUCAGAACUGGAAUCUUUAACAUGCACGAGAUGAUACACACACCCCUUAGAAAUCAUUUUCCUUGCCCGAAGGUAGGAAACAAAUUGACCCCUAAACGCUGAAAUGCUACCCUUCCACUCUAGGAUGGGCUCAUUCAGGAACUGAAAAUGAACUAUCCUAUUUCUUCAGUCAACUAUGGCAUAGCAGGAAUAAAGCCAAUCCAUGCCGAGAAUGACAUCAAAAUCAGUCAUCUCUAACUCCACUAAAUCUGUUGAUGUGGAUUUCUGAGAUAUCAUAACCGGGCAGUUCCUGUAUACCCAUCGGGCUAUGAUGGUUUUACCCACUGGGGUAGAGACUAAGAAGGGAUCUGCUAGGACUUCAGGAUUGAUUCCGAAACUGCUUGCUAUGUAUGGAGUAACAAAAGACAAAGAUGCACCUGGGUCUUGCAAAGAAUAAACAUGAACAUAGAAAAUCUGUAAUGUACUAGUAACGACAUCAGGAGAAUUUUCCUUAUCCUGUCGGGACUAAAGAGCAUAGAGUCUGUUUGGGCAUUGCCCACUGAUAGCACUAGAAUUGGCACCCUGUUGGUUCGGGCGACUGGACUGAGCUGUAGAAUAAUUUUGCCGACCCUAAAGACUUGACUGUAGACACUCUCUAAUCCUGUGUCCUGGCUUGCCACAACCAAAACAAACAUCAUUAUCGGCUCUACAAAUGCCCUUGUGGUUCUUACCACAAGUCUAACAAAAGGGAUUCAUUCGGGUACUGCUAACACUACCCUGAGAUUUAGAGCCUGGCGCUUUGUUUCGAUUGCCGUCUCUGAACUUUGGCACUGGAGCGCUGGCAGAGGAAGGAGAUGGAAUGGCUGACUUGGACCAAAACUGUGAACGAUUUUCUCCAUCUGACUUGGGGUGAGCAAAGUUGAAAUUACCUGACCUUGCUCUCUUGUUCUGCCUCUCCCUAGUCUUAAACUUCUGCUCUUCUACUUGCUGGGCAUGGGUCAUGAGUCUUGAUAAGGUCAUAUCACCGAUCAACAUCACAGAACUACACUCAUUUACCAUGCUAUCCUUGACCCCUGACACGAACUUGCUUAUCUUUGCUCUAUUGUCUGCAACCACAUAAAGCGCAUACCUGGCUAGCUGAGUAAAUAUGAGAGAAUACUCCCUAACCGUCAUAUUCCCCUGCCUAAGGUUUAUGAACUUAAGAACUUUGGCUUCCCUCAGCUCUUGGGGAAAGAAUCUGUUUAAGAAGGCUGUAACAAAUUCCUCCCACUCAAUAGGGCCUGUAUCAUCUAACCUCUCAGACUUCCACUGUUUGUUCCAAUCAUGAGCAAUAUCCUGUAACAAGUAGGCGGCUAACUCAGCACUCUCAAUAAAAGUAACACCUAUGAUGUCAAUGACCUUCUGGACUUGGUCAAUGAACUCCUGAGAAUCCUCAUCAGACUUAGACCCAUGGAAAGAUGGAGGGUUCAUCCGGGGAAAUCCCGAACCCUAGCUACUUUGGGAGUGGCCACUGGAUUGGCCGGAAUGACUGGUGGCCAUUCAUUCUGUGCAGCCAUGGACUGAGCAAAUGUGGUAAAUGUGGAUCUAAACUCCGCAUGGGAAAUAUAUUCGCCCAAAGGAUCUUUGGGCUGAGGAGCUGGCUGGUUUCUUCUCUUUGGGGCCAUGGUCUGGAAUAAGAGAAGAAUGGAUUAGACUGAGAGUUUAACUUGUGAUUAUGCUCACUAGCAUGACAUGAAUAAUGAAGAAAUGGGACUGUUCCUAAAACAUCUUAUAGCCUCCUGUACAUAAAUGUGGCGCGCAACACACCCAUUUACAAGACUCUACUAGAUGCGGCUUUCAGACUUCAUACGACUCUAUUGAACCUUAGUCUCUGAUACCAAGUUUGUAACACCCCGAUUUGCUAAACCGGAAUGCUACACGGUACUUAUGACCUCGAGGUACCACAAGCUAACCUAUAUCUGAUAUUUAUACCUGUAUACUGCAAAUCAUGAGGUAAUAAUGCGGAAUACAUGGAACUGUAAGGCCAUAAGGUUUAACUGAAUACAAUCAAGUGGGUGAAAAUACCCAAAACAACUCAAUCUAAAAGUUAAAUCUGAACAUAAAUCUAAAAGUAAAUCUGAAAGCCUUUAAAUUGUCUGAAUAAGGAGUUAAAGGAACAUGUCUCCAACUAACUCCAUAAAACUGAACUGAAGAAUAAAUAAAUAAAUUAAAUCAUAUUGUCCUAGAAUCCAUGAGGACUCAGUGUGUCUCUGCGACUGGAAUGCUACUGCUACUGCUGGGCUGGAGCUCGUGUCUCGGAACCUAUGGUGUAACAUGAAAAGAAAGCACCAUAGCGCAAAUGCGUCAGUACAAUUGGAGUACUGAGUAUACGAAGAAGGUAGGCUGAACAUAAAGGGUUUCAUCCAUGAACAACACUGACUGACAAUAUGAACUGGGAGUGCAAACACACAUAUAUAGAAAUUAGACCGUGAAUACGUGAUAGCAUGACCUGUAAGCUAAUACAUGGUUUACUGAUAACUAUCAUGAGUGAUACUAAAACUGAUAACAUGGACGAUUGUAUCUGACAGUCCUGUAUAUACUGAAAUAUGAAGAACGCCCUGAGUUCUUUCACUGAGACUGAUAUUGAAACAGAUAACAUGAACAAAUGUACUUGACAGUCCUGUAUAUACUGAAAUUUGAAGAACGCCCUAAGUUAUUUUACUAAGAUUGAUACUGAAACUGUGGGAAGUAGUGUUUAACCAACAUGCCCCAUGUAUGCCAUUAUGGCUAAGCUAGGGUCGAAUCUCUACUCCAACUGGAGGGGUGUCAAUACCGUGCCACGGGUAAGGACAGUCUGUGAGUGACCCUUAUCUGGAGGUACUCAAUGAGAACGAUGGGAACCCUAAACUGACAGGUUAAGCCACCUCAUCAACCCUAAUCUGGCAGGUUAAGAUGUCUCAACCUACGCUAGCUACGUAGUUCUGAAACACAAGGAUUGCUACUAAGAAUCACACCCUGAACUGGCAGGUGAGUUCCUAUCCUUGGGUUCACUCGGUGCUAACCUAUACUCCCAUCUAGAGGGACUGGACAUGAAUAACUGACUGUGCAUGACUUAAUAUUACUGAAUUUCGUUGACUGGCAGAAUGUUACUGAUAUUUGACAACUGACUAAGAUCAUGAGGGUUUCCUGAGUCACAUGACUGACUGAAGUCUAUGGAAUCAUAGCUUGAGUUUGGAUAUCAUGAAACAUGACAUAGAUCUAGGCACACAGCUAUAGUUUUCAGGUACUAGUACCUCCAGGACUCGAUAGAAGGAAACUGACACACAUGACUGACUUGACAUAAGAGUAGAGUCCAUAAUUUAUAAUACCAUAAGUAGGGAUCUCAUACUAUGCAUGGUUAUCAAUAAUGUAUUGCAUGAAAAGGAUUUCAUAUCACAUGGAAGCACUUGCACAAUCUUAAUAUCAUGUUCAUUGCAUAAUCAUAUUGGCAACACAUACCAAUAGCAUGGAAGUUCAUGUGGAUUGCAUAGUUAUCAUACAUCUUGUUCAUAAGUAGGAUUUGCAAGUAAACAUAGCAUAAUUUCAUAAGAAUAGUUCAUGAGUAUUCCAANNNNNNNNNNNNNNNNNNNNNNNNNNNNNNNNNNNNNNNNNNNNNNNNNNNNNNNNNNNNNNNNNNNNNNNNNNNNNNNNNNNNNNNNNNNNNNNNNNNNNNNNNNNNNNNNNNNNNNNNNNNNNNNNNNNNNNNNNNNNNNNNNNNNNNNNNNNNNNNNNNNNNNNNNNNNNNNNNNNNNNNNNNNNNNNNNNNNNNNNNNNNNNNNNNNNNNNNNNNNNNNNNNNNNNNNNNNNNNNNNNNNNNNNNNNNNNNNNNNNNNNNNNNNNNNNNNNNNNNNNNNNNNNNNNNNNNNNNNNNNNNNNNNNNNNNNNNNNNNNNNNNNNNNNNNNNNNNNNNNNNNNNNNNNAAAAAGAGGAAAAACAAUCAAGCAUCAACAUGGGUAUGAUCAUAUCACCACAAUCAACCAAGCUUUUGUAUUUUAAAGAUUGAUUCUUGAACUCCACGGAUGAAAGAAAUCUGUGGAUGAACACUACGCAUACCUUAGAAGGAAGAUUCUUGAUGAUAUACGGAGGAAUUUCCUUGAAAUCGGAUCUUCAAGCUUAAUUAUGCAACCCUAGUUAUUUUUCUCCUUUAGUUCUCUUGGAUGAUGAGCUUUGAGAUGAAAAUAGGGUUGCAGUAUGUUUAGAAGUUAUAUAUUUUGUAGGGUUAAGUUUAGGGACGUGUAAGGAGUAUUUAAAGACUUAAUUACCUUUAAAAUAACUCAAAGCGGAGUGUUUUUGACACCUGGAAUUGACUUAGGCAGCGCCUAAGUGAUCGCCUAGGAUUGGGUUGGGCGGCGCCUAACCAAUCGCCCAAUCGCCUAUGCUUACUGUAUCUCACAAAAAUAGGCAUAACUUUUCGCUCGGGUAUUGGAUUAAGGUGAAAUUGGUAUUGUUGGAAAGCUAAUUUGAUUCUCUACAAUUUGGUGGGUCUAAAUCAGACAAAAUACCACAUUAACAUCGAGUUAUACUCGUUCUAAGAUGACCCUUUCAAAAUCGAACACUAAAACUUGAUGGAUUCAAAAACUCUUAGCUUGUAUUACUUUAAGUGACUCAUAUGAACUUGCUUAAUGCAUCAUAAGCUAUCCCAUCACUAGGAUAUUCAUUGUAAGUCAUGUACUCAAGUAUGAAUCACAUAAUAGGAGAUUUCAUAUGUAGGAAUACUUAUUCACUUCCUAGCUUAGAAACAUGCGAAGUAUUACAGUUACACUUUUUCAAAAAGAAAAAUCAAAAUCGAAUUACACAAAAUCAAAUUAGAAAACCAAAUGCACAACCUAAUUACUCUCUCUUCACUCUUACUUGUACACUAUUAUAAAAAUAGAUUUUUGCUUCUACUUUUCACUUUUAACUAUGAAGGAAAAGAUAAUUAUUUUAUGAAUAUUAAGCUAUCUAAAUCCAAAUCUAAAUACUCAAAUUACAAACACUAAAAAUAGGAGAAAAUAUCGGAUAUUUAGCAUUACAAAUAUCAGGAUUCUUCUCAAUAUCAAGACGAUUCUUCUCCGUCUUUACAAAUAUCCAAUAUUUGAUAUUUGUAUUUGAUAACAAAUAUCGAUAUUACUAGUUUAUGAGAUUCUUCUUGUUAUUAUAAAUACGAUUCAAGAUUGUAUUUGGCAUUAUAAGAAUAUCUAGCUUAAAAUCUAAUCAUAAAUUAUAACUUCAUUUUAAAAAUUUUAAGAAAAUUAAGACAAAAUUAAAGCUUUAAAGUUGAUUUCGUUGAAAAUUAGAACAUAAAUGAAAACAUCUUACCGAAUGUUUUAAAGAGAAGAGAAAAAGGAAUUUUAAAUAAUUGACAAAUUUAACUACACGUGUUUUUUUAAUUGAUGAUUACAAUAAAGUUUAUAUAGUCAAAUGUCUCAAAUGUGUGACAUCCAUGUUAUCAACUUCCGUGGCUUUUAUGAUUUGUAUGUAUGAAAAAUGGGGAAAAGUCAUCAUUUUCACUUUAAACUAUACUCAAAAAGUCGAAGACAUACCUAAACAACAGAUGAAAUAUAAUACACAAACACGGACAGUCAUAAUCUAUUAACUAGGCAGAGCAAAAAAGUGUCAGAUAGUGUGAUAAAGAUUAUCUUAAAACCCAUUAACAUAAGGGACAAGAACCCCUUUCUAAAUACAAGUUCAUAAUUCACCGUUUUGCCAAUAAGUAUGUUAGGGUAUUAUGCAUAUUAUGAAAUAACUUGUCAUAGGAUUUUUCAACAUUUUUGACAAAGGCGAAGUAGGAGGUUCGAACAGAGACAGCCAGAUCAUCAUUCGAGGAAGAGACUUGGGAUUUAAAAGAGUCCAUGUGAGAGAGCACUUGAGAGAACAACUUAACUCCUAAUUUGAGCCCAUCGAGUGCCGACUGGACCACACUUAUGUCAGAGCUUGUACUUUUCCCAGGGUUAGGAGUUUAGUAAUCGACUCCUAAAUUUGCAUGAAACCUUCCUCAAUGGCUUUAAACUAUUCCUUGAGUUCUUAGAGUUCCUUCAACAAAAAGGUAGAGGGGUUAGAAACAGAUUUACUUACCUUCGGAGGUUCAGCCUUCGGACAGAAAGAUUCCUUCUUACACCAUUCAUCUUCCACUAGGACAUAUCCCAUGCUACUAAAUGUUCUUAAAUCAUAAGUUGCAGCAACUUCUAUAGAAGGAUAAGCAGAGAGAUCGAUGGAGAAGAAUAGGAUUCGAGUGAUGAGCAUCCCUUAUGGCAAACUGGCAGAGGCAUGGACUAACCUUGCACUCUCAAGAAUGUGCUCUUGUAUCCAAGUUGCCCAAUUGAUUUUGAUCUUUUUGACUAGACAGUACAACAUAAAGACGUCACGAUAAGUGUGUUGCUUAGGGAUCCUUUUCACAAAAUUAGAGUGGUGGCAAUAAUAUGGGCCAUUAUGCAAAAUUUAAAACAUAAAGACAAGGGAUCAAAGUUGGUUGACAUGGAUUUAGGGUCAUACAAAAAUUUCAUAGCUUCCUCAAAAUCCACUUUAAAGUCCUCAGGCCAGUUAUUGUUCAUAAAAGGGACCACACCGAAAAACUUAGUAUCAAAAAUAUUUCAAACAGGAAGUUGUUCAUGAUAAUUCUUAUGCCUAGCACAAGAGUCUUGAAUUCACCACUGUCUGGGGAAAUUCAAAGAUUAGCAUAAAAUAUACUGACAGGAUCUUCAUAAACUUGAAGUUCACAGAGGCGAAAAAGCAAGGAUAGAUCUUGAAAUUUUAAAAAGUGACUAACAUUGCAAGAGGUAUCUUUUAAUAGAAUGAUAUUGACGAUAUGACUGGGUACGAUGGAACAAUUUAUGAAGGAGUGGAAUUUUUCUUUGUGAGAGUUUGUCAGAAUUGGUGCAUCUCUUCUUGGGGGAGGGAGUUAGAAGAAUUUGGAUGACAUUUUUUAUGGAGGAGAUAUGGCUGGAAGAAGGUCAUCAUCUCUUGAGAAGAGUGGAUUGAGACAAGGAUUCGUCGAAUGACUUAGAGAGAAAAUAAGAUCAUCGUAAGAGAUUUUAGAUAUGUUAUCCAUGGAUCGAGUCUUUGUCAUAAGAAUGAGAGAAAAUGAGAUUUAAAGGAUGAGACGGAGAAAAGAAAAGCUGAUUAAGAGAACUUAGAAGCAAAAGGGUAAUAUGAGACUCUUCGGAAGGGAUAGAGAGAAGGAAGGUGAAGGGGCAUAAAGUGGAAGAAGACUGAUGAAGGUAAAAAUGCAUGGGGAAGAGAAAAGGAUGGCAGAGGAGGCAUGGAAAACGGUAAAGUUAAUAAUGACUUCCCUUUUGAAAAGACUCCUUUUUGGUAAAAUAGGUACAUGUGGACUAAUUAAAAAGAUUUGUGUCCAAAAAUAUACUCAUAAAUAAUUAAUGCCAAAUUUUUUUCUGGGAAAACUAGAUCUUUCUUUUAGCAACGAUUUAAAAAAAAAAGAUUUUUGGAGUCAAAAAAUUUCACUUUCUCCGUGAUUAUGAAUAAAAUAAUGUUUAAUGCAGAUAUGUUUUGCCCUAGAUGCACAGAACAUUAGAUAAAAUAACAGUACCAGUAUUGUCACACAUUCUGGGAAUAGACUCAAAAGAAAAAAUAAAAUUAAGUAGUUGACGCAUAAUUCAUAGAAUUUAAGUACAGCAAUUCCCAAAGGCUGUGUAUACUACUCCAGUUGUUGGCGAACAAACUAAAGUUUGCUCCUUGCUGAGUUAUGAACUUGAGGCAUCACUCGUGUGAUAAAAACUUUUAUUAGAAUAGCAAAAUUCUCACAUGAAGAUGUUAGAAUAAUCAGGAAUCAUAUUAAAACAUGUACAGUAAGAAGUCUAAAAAAAAUUAUUUUUGAGGACUUAGAAUUGUAUCAAAAUUACCCACUUUGUUGAAAAAAAAUAGGAAAGUACUAAACUUCUCAUGCCAAGCCUUUCGAGCUCGCUUGAGACUAUGGAGUGCUUUAACAGUUUUAAAAAUAUUUAAGGGCAACAACUGAUAAUGAUAAUUCAUAUUGAUUUUGACCUUAUCACAAGGAUAAAUAUUUUAUUGAAGUCGGUACCUUCUUGGAGGGAAUAGCCUUAAGCUAUAUAUAUGUCUUCAUUUCAAUCUCAUUAUUUCAGAUGUGGAAGUCGACUUAGAAGGGGGUAUAGUCGACUCGUCUUAUGAAGGCUCGGAGAUUAUGUGAGCAUCAUCUCUGGAUUGUAAAUCACUCACCUGUUAUUCAUCACCGCAUUGUUAUGGGUUAAACAUCUGUUGGUGGUAUGACAUGUUAUAUGUUAUCUUUUUUUAUUUUUGCCAUUCACCAAAGAGAUAGAUAUUAAUACUAUCAUGUUUGAUGAACCAUUUUUUUGUUUGAGGGAGAUUUCAAACCAGUCAUCACAUGGUGAGUCAACUCUGGUGACAUUGCCUCUAGUGUUAUCACUUUAUUUGAUUUAUCCUUUACCUACAUUCUUCAAAGAAGAGAAUAUUUCUUUCUUUUCGGUCAUGUAUUUUGAUCAUCUUCCAUUAGGAGCCCGUAUUUUCUUUUUAUGGUUUUCGCAGACAUGUUCUUGCAAAAUGAGAAGAUUAAUUCUGCUAAGGUACCCAAGUGGUCUUGGCUCCUUGUGGAUUAGAUGUGCUUCCUUUGGGCUUCUAAACCCAAACACAUUUAGGCUUAUGCCUAUAAUUGUAGGAUUUGUUCUCUCUCUAUCCAUAGAUAAAACAGAUGUGUCCUCAAGAGGAGAAAGAGGUCUUAGCUGAUUUAAACAAUCUUGAUGAGAAACUGGAGUAGUUUUUGAAGGAAUUUGAUCUCAUGAAACUGUUGUUUGGGGAUGUCUUAAAACUGUUUAGCUUUAUUUUUGCAUCAUCAAGCUUUUCAUGAAGUAGGUCAAUUUCAAUUUGACAUGCUUCAAUUUCUAUUUACUAAUUUCAUCGUACCUCUUUGAGUUUUUGUUUAAAUCGUGCUUUACAACUUUUUUCCUCUUGAGAUAGUUUAUUAUAUUUAUCUAUAACUUUUUGAAGCUCGUCGGUUAUCAUAUCCAAGUUGGAUUCAAGAAUAUUAUAGUUAUGACAGUUGUGUUGUCUUACCUUGCUAGAUUCACUUGUUUCCAUGAAGCAUAUAUCGGCAGAUUCUAUUUCAUCUUUGGUUUCAUCCUCAUCACUCCAAGCUCUAAAGUUUUGAUUCUUCCUGGAUGUUUUUCUUCUUAAUUUUGGACAGUUUUAUUUGAAGUGGCCAGACCUUCCACAGUGAUAGCAGCGAUCAUCGUUUCUAGUAGAGUCAUUAUUUUUAGCUCUUUGGGAUCUUUGUUAUCUUUAUAUCAUGAUCAGCCUUACUCCAUGAUUAAUAAGGGCCAUUCCUUCGCUAUUAGCAUAUUCAAAAAUAUUCACUUCUUUGGUUGGAGCAGCAAUAAAGGCUACUGAUUUCUUUUUUUCCUCCUUGUGGUACCUAUUAAUAUAUGUUUUUCAUAUGCAAUAAGGUUACCUCAUAGUUCAUUAUAUGUCAUGUUGUAAAGAUGUCCAUCUUCCAGAAUGGCAGCCUUGGUUUCCCAAAUCUUUGGAAGACUUCGGACCAGCUUCUGUACUUGCAGGCUAUGUGGAUAGAUCAUCCCAGUGAUUUCAGUUCAUAUACGAUCUUUCUAAAUCUGUCAAACAUUGUUUUAAUGUUUUCAUUUUCUUCAAUUUUGAACUGCUCGUAUUCAUUGACCAGGGCAAUAAUUUUUGAAUUCUUGACUUUUGUGGUUCCUUCAUAGCUUACCUCCAAUUUGCCCCAUAUUUGUAGUCUUCCAGGUUGAUAUGCUAUCGUAUUCUUCUCCACUAAUUGCACAAAGAAGCAAACUUGUAGCUCGUGCAUUAGUUUCAAUUACCUCUUGUUGUUCUUUGGUGACCUCAAAGCUUUUGGGAUCUUCUAUGUCAGAACUGCUAGAUUUUUUAUCUUUGUCCUUGGACUUCUCUUUAAGUCCUAGAAUAGACUUUGGACCCCUUCUUGAUAACAACCCAUGCUUGGAAAUCAUUUGAUUAGACAAAGAUUUUGAACCUAUUUUUCCAAUAUGAGUAAUGUUGUCCAUUAAAGUAUGGUGGUCUUGUGAAGAAAUGACCAUCUUGAAGAAGAGCACCUGGGAUUUGAUAACUUGUCAUUUGAUCUUUGCUCACUUAUGGUUAAACAAUGUUAUUGAUGAGACCUUCUCUGAUACCAACUGAAAUUCAAGAGGGAGUGAAUUAAAAUUUUUCUAUGAGUCGACUACUGACUUCUCACAGUCGACUCACCUACAGAUUAGUACACUUCGCAAAAAUAGAUUAGAUUUAAAACAAUUAAGCAAAUUAAAAACAGAACUUAUAGUAAUAAGACAGAGAUUUAUCUUGGUUCGGAACACUAAUGUGCUGCCUACUUUCAGUCCCCUUGUGUUUCAAAGUUUUCUUAGAUCGUUCAAUAUCGGGCUCGAGUACAAUGAUAGGAAACAAGUUUUAAAGACUUAUUUUGCUCUUCAGAUCUUUUGACAUAGUCUUUAUAUAACAACUGUAAAAUAAAAGUUAUAAAGCCUUGUGAGACUAAGAUUGAGACACUUUGAAUUUUCUCCUUGAAGUUGUGUAACACGUGUCUGUCUUCAGUCGUCAUCUUGUAUAGUCUUCGAAUGUUAUUCUUCAUAAGAAAACCCAAGAGAUUUCUUCUCAAUCAAGGAUUUAAAUUGAUUCCUUGAUUUAGGAAUGUAGUCAUUUGAUAUGUCCAUAUAAAGCUUUGGAUCACGUCCAUAUCAGAUAUAUCUAUAAUCUAAUUUCUUUUUUGGCCUUGUAUAGAUUGAUGCUUUUCCAGAUGUGUUUGUGAUCUUUUCUUCCUUUUCUUUAGUAGUUAUUGAUCUAAUUUGUUGAGACUUUUGGGACAUAGAUUCUCCGUGAUUGAGUUGAUUUAUCUAGACUUUUGGGACUGAGAUUCUCCUUCUGUUUGUCCUCAUUCUGAUCUAUUUUCUUUGAUGUCGCUUAUUGUAAGUUGAUGUCCCUCCAUUCCUGGAGCCGACUUUCUUUAUUAGUAAUCUUUAAUGUCCUGCAUUGAUCCACUUGUUAGUUUGUCAUUAUUAAAAUAUAGACUUCAGAGGCUAACAAUAGGGUGAGCUCUUGGAGUCAGAGUUGCCCUUUCUCCUUUUAUUUAUCAAUGUCUAGUCUUUUCUUUCAAGACAGAUUAUAUUGACUAUUCUAGAACUUAUGGUGUAUUGUAAUAGCUCUUCUACUAACUAUACCAUGUCAUGGGAUGGUUUUCUAUGUUAUGGCUACCUUUCGGAAUAAUUUUAUUUCCUUAUUUAUUUAUGAUUUGUAUUGUCUAAUUGGCCCUUCUUAAGGUAUUUUCCACCAAGUAAGCACAUUGCAAUCAAUUCUGAGCUACACUUUGGCUUACUUACUGGGGGACUUUGUAGGUACCAUCAUGACUCAUAAAUCGAGUCAUGACAGGUUCUAUAUUUAAUCAAAUACUGCAUUAUACUUUGUUUAAAUAUGUUAUUUUGGAGAUGUCAUAAGGCUAAGAAAACAGAUGGAAAAUAGUGUAGCGUUCAAGAAAGGUUGAGUCACUGAUGUGUCAUGGACUUAUGGCACUUUCGAAGCUUAAAAUUAUAGAAAUUUGUAAGUGCAAAUAUAUUUAUGUAGAUGUGAUGUGGUUUUGUGAUAUUCAUACGUCAAAUAGGUCCAGAGAAGUAAAGUGCAUCUUUUUACACUUAAGGACAUUAGACGAGUCAUCCUAUGAUUAUAGGAUCUGACCACAAUCAAACCAUGGUUGUAAUGGGUUGAACCAUAGAGAUGGUAUUCAGGUGUUAUUCAAAUGAAAUCAUACCAUAAUCGUAUGUAGAUGCUAUGAUCAUAAGAGUGAUCAUAGGAAGAAGUUUCAGAAAACUUACUUUCAGAUGUUAAGUAUGAGGAGAAUCAAAUGAAAGGAUUCCACUAUCGUACCAUGAUACUAUGAGUUUGUACUGAAUAUCGUGGAAGAAGUGUUUUGAAAAGUGGGAAAUCAAAUAUGGAAGCCACAAGAUGGUUCCACAAUCAUACAAAAAAAAUUAGCUCAUACUAAGUAUCAUACCAAACAAAACCUGAAAGAGGAAAAAGUCAAGUGUCAAUGUAGAAGCACAAAGGAUGAUCAUGGUAUCUAAUCAAUAUCUACCUUCCUUCAUCUAAUGUGCCAACUCAGUAAAUCCAAUUGUGUUUAGGAUAGGUUUUAUGUUUGUCUAUAAGUACUCCUUUUCGGUCUUUUGUUUCAAUUUACAUUCUAUUGAUACUUUUGAGACAUACUGUUGUUCUUUGAAGUAUAAAUAUCAAUUUUGAGGGUUUUAAUUUAUAAGUAAGAUUUGUGUUUUUCAUCUUAUUCUUGUAAGUCCAUAAUUAUGUUUCUUCUCAGAAUUAUUGUUGUGUACUUGCAAUUAUGAGUAGCUAAACACCCCGACUAGGUUUGUGGGAACUAUGAUGAAUUAACAAAGUAGUGUUUGAUUUAUGAAAUUAUUCUAAAAGGGUGUUUGGGCAUGUAUUGUUAUUCUCUUUUGUUUGAUUGCUUUCUUAUAGUCGUAGACAUCAAACCACGCCUUAUCUUUACUCUAGAUGAAAGGAUGAGUAACGGAUGGUAAUAGCGAAUUAGUAAUGAAACUUGGAUAUAUCAACCUCUAUUAAUUAGACUUGAGUUGGUAAAUAGGAUAUACUAAUAUGGGAUCAAUGAUAGGGGUUAGUAAUACAAAACCUAUGAUAUUUUUUUUGAUUGGGGAUAGUCAUCUAAUAGGGGCAUGAAAUCAUUUAGAUAAACAUAGCCUAUCGAUUUGGAAUUUCGAGCACUAUGAGAGAUCACUAAGUAUGAAGAACAUAUAGAGUUACGAUGUUAUUAGGAAACAAAGUCCUAGUAUCUCUCUUAUAUUAAAACAAAUCCAAUGAAAUCAACAGUUGCUACUGUAGGAAUUUUGAUCUACAAAACCCUCUUUUUACUAGAGAUUAUUUAUUGAUCGCUUAGAUAAACACUUAAUAGAGAUUUCAACCUAUUCCUCAUGGAAUCGACCACAACUUAGUUGCAUUUAUAUUUUGCCAAUGAUCAUUUUAUACUUUGUUUAGAGGUAUAAUUUGGGUGACAUUAAAUUUUGGCACCUUUGUUGGGAAUACGAUAACGGAGUUGAUUGAUUAUGUUUUUUAGGUUGUUGGUUUCUGAAUAUUGACUUUAAUUUUUUUAUUUCUAGGGCGCAUACCAGUGCACUUCCAUUACUUGAGCCAAGGCAAUCCCUUGAUUCCACUUGAUAUAGAAAUUAAAAAAAAUAUGAGAGUUAAAAGAAGGAUGGUGAAUGAUGGAGUUCAUAAAACAGGAGUUUUAGAUGAGGAGGUCUUGAAUCUUCCAGGACAUCUUCAUAGGAUUUAAGAGAUUAUAGAGCAGACCACUACUCAAUUGAUAACUAAGGAUAAUGAUAGGCAAGAAGUUUUCAGGCAGGAUGCAAGGGAAAAAGGGGUAGACAUGUUAAAACAGACCAUCAACUUGCACUUAAGGAAUGAGAAAGGUAGAGAAAAAAUAGAGGGAAACAACAUCUAGAGCAUUAUAUUCCUCAACUUGAUGAUGUAGAAGACAAGAUAGACUUUCUAGAGCUGAUUGAAAUAAGUGUGAUUAUUCCAUCAGCAUUGCUAUCAUGAACUAUAUUUGAUAUCACCGGUGCUAUGAUAUAGUUGCUAAACUUAAAGAGGGUGUUCACAGGACUUUCUACCGCUAAUGCAAACCUUUAUGUGAUAAAUUUAUAGGGAUUCGCAAAUUCUAUAAUUUACUUGGGGUUAGACAAGAGGUGAUUAGACUUCAGUUGUUACCUUUUUCGAUGAAGGAAAAGCUAAAUUAUGGUUGACAAAGUUGCCACAUGGAUCGAUCACUACUUGGAAUAAGUUGAGGACUAAGUUCUUAGAGAUAUUUUUCCCACCUUCAAGAAUGUUGCAGUUGAAAGAUAAGAUUAUAACUUCAAGCAGUUACACUUGAAGGUUUUAUAUGAGACAUGCAGACGUUUAAAAAAAAGCUGCAGAAUGUCCCAAAUCAUAGAAUACCAAGCCACAUAUUUCUUGAGAUAUUCUAUAGAGGUAUAAAUACAUAUAAUAAGGAUAUACCAAACGCUAUUACAGAUGGGGCAUUCAUGGGUUACAUUGGAUUAGGCUUAUAAGAUUUUAGACUGGAUCACUAAAACCAAUAGAGGUUGGAAUACUCGUAAUGCAGACAUACCCGUAGUUACUAAUAUUAUAGGGGUAUCUACAAAAUAGAGAGAACUAGAUGACUCUAUCAUCAAAAGAUAGAUCAGUUGAGGAUAGAGCUUAACUUAUUUGCCAAGCAAUUUGCAGCAGUAGGAGCAGAAAGAGUGAUUGUGGUUGGUUCACAAUGUAAGGCAUCGAGGAAUGAUAACUCUAAUUCUGAGGAGGAGGCUAAGUAUUUAGAAAAUAAAAUGGCGGGUUUCUAAGCCAAGGUAUAGGUGUCUAAUUAAGAUAAUUAGAAAUCUGGAAAAAGAAAUCGAGGUCAAAACUACUAUAAUGUUAACAACUAAAUCAGGUCUCUGUGUAGAGAUAGAAGCCGAGAAAGAGAUGGUGAUUGGAGAAGAAAGGACGACUAUAAGGAUAUAAGUGUCCUCUGUGUUCCAUUGGGAAUUGAGACGAUGAUUCAAGCAAUUCGAGGAUGAAAGACAUACUUGCAAAAGUAGUGAAAAUGGUAAAGAAGAUGAAGACUUCUUGAAGGAGCUUAGUGCAGAUACUUUGGGGAUAAGUCAAAAGGUCGAAUCACAUGUUACUGUCCUUAAGCAUCUUAAGCAAUAAUUUGGUCAGAUGUCUAUUGCAUUAAAUCAGCAUUGAUAAUGUGAAGGUUUUAUAUGAGACAUGCAGACGUUUAAAAAAAAGCUGCAGAAUGUCCCAAAUCAUAGAAUACCAAGCCACAUAUUUCUUGAGAUAUUCUAUAGAGGUAUAAAUACAUAUAAUAAGGAUAUACCAAACGCUAUUACAGAUGGGGCAUUCAUGGGUUACAUUGGAUUAGGCUUAUAAGAUUUUAGACUGGAUCACUAAAACCAAUAGAGGUUGGAAUACUCGUAAUGCAGACAUACCCGUAGUUACUAAUAUUAUAGGGGUAUCUACAAAAUAGAGAGAACUAGAUGACUCUAUCAUCAAAAGAUAGAUCAGUUGAGGAUAGAGCUUAACUUAUUUGCCAAGCAAUUUGCAGCAGUAGGAGCAGAAAGAGUGAUUGUGGUUGGUUCACAAUGUAAGGCAUCGAGGAAUGAUAACUCUAAUUCUGAGGAGGAGGCUAAGUAUUUAGAAAAUAAAAUGGCGGGUUUCUAAGCCAAGGUAUAGGUGUCUAAUUAAGAUAAUUAGAAAUCUGGAAAAAGAAAUCGAGGUCAAAACUACUAUAAUGUUAACAACUAAAUCAGGUCUCUGUGUAGAGAUAGAAGCCGAGAAAGAGAUGGUGAUUGGAGAAGAAAGGACGACUAUAAGGAUAUAAGUGUCCUCUGUGUUCCAUUGGGAAUUGAGACGAUGAUUCAAGCAAUUCGAGGAUGAAAGACAUACUUGCAAAAGUAGUGAAAAUGGUAAAGAAGAUGAAGACUUCUUGAAGGAGCUUAGUGCAGAUACUUUGGGGAUAAGUCAAAAGGUCGAAUCACAUGUUACUGUCCUUAAGCAUCUUAAGCAAUAAUUUGGUCAGAUGUCUAUUGCAUUAAAUCAGCAUUGAUAAUGUACAUUUUUGAGAAAUACUAUCGAAAAUCCUAAAAAUGAGGGUCAUUACUUGGAUAUUGCAACUAGGAUUGGUAAAGUGAUAGUUGAUCCAUCUAUGAUUGUGGUUGUUCAGAAUGAGAUCGAGCCAGUGAUUGUAGAUGAUGAGAGACUAGCUGAAUCUUACAGUUUAGUUGUUGAUGAGGAUGCAUUUUAAAAGCCUUUAGUUCCUGAAAAGGAGUCUAAGGCAAAAAGAAAAAAGGAAAAGAGGUCAUAAAAGUAUUGACUCCCAUUCCACGCCUCCUCUUAUUUUUGUAGAAAGACUGAAGAAUAAGUUUUAAGAGGGAAAGUGUCACAAGUUAACUACCAUAUUAAAAUAAUUGUUGAUGAACAUCCCUCUAGUUGAGGCUCUUGAGCAAAUGUUUGGUUAUGCAAAGUUUAUAAAGGAUUUCAUGGCGAAGAAGAGGAAUGUAAGUUUUGAGCUCGUUCAAAAUAUGCAUUAUUGUAGUACAAUCAUUUCCCAGUCUCUAUGGUAUGAAUCCAUGAUCAUAGGGAUGAGUCGUAGGUUUUUUCUAUUUUAAAUUUCACCCAAUACGACCCAACCUAGCUAAAUUCCUAAGUUUUAUUCCUCCGACCCUAUUUUAUCUCUUCUUUUCAAACACACGCAGAUUACUAUACUAGCACGAUUCAUAGUUCAGAAUCAAAGCAACAACUCGAAUUCAUCCUAUUUUUAAUUGAAUUACAGCAAAAAAAAAAGAAAUUAAAGUGGUGCAUACUCUCUCAAACUUAAAAAUUCCAACUCUGAUGCGCUUUCCAAACACUUGUUAUUUCAGACUAAAGUAAGUCUUUCUAAAUUAUUGUGAUUUGAAUAAGCAAAUAGGAAUUAGGGUUACACACACUUGGUUAAAUUUGAAAUUAAGUAUGUAGAGGAGUUGAAGUGCACCAUAGUAAAAAUUGCUUAUUUUUGAACUAGUGUAAAAAGACAAAUGUCGAGAGGUAACAUUGAGUGCCCCUCAUUUUUUCAUUAAGUUCAAAUUGGGUCAAGAUAUUGUGUUUAAAUUGGUUAAGUGUUAGUGAAAACUUCAUGACACAACCUAAAAUUGUCAUUCUUAUGUGCGAUGGUAGGUUGGAUCGUUGUGGGUGUCAGUUUGCAAAGUUGAAGGAAUUCCUAAGAAAACCAUAUACCAUGAUCAUUGUAUCUUGGUACAAUCAUAAAAUAUUGAUAUGACAAACCUCAGCAUAUUUUAACAGGGGCCUCCUAUGAUUGAUAGGACGAUUGUGCUUUCAUAUCAAUGUCGUACCUUAUGUCAUCUGCUUGAAUUACUGAGUACUUGUUUCUGAUGUUUGCUAGGACUAAUCUUUUCACAUAGAGGUACUAUGGAACCAAAGUUGAAUAAAAAAGGUUCGGGGAGGUUAUCCACAAGGAUAUAGAUAAGAAAAGGGCACCAAAAGACAUGUCUUCGACCAUAGAGAGUAAUUUAGAGAAAUCUAGUGGUUCGGAGGUCAGGUACUCCAAAAAUAGUGUUAUUGAACAACAAGAGCCUCGAACCACUAGAUAUAAAUUUUCUAAGGCCAACGCCCAAACAUCUAAAGCAUUGGAGCCUGCAGCUACUCCCAUUGAACUUCCCAGUUUGAAGAGGAAGGCCAAACCUCAAAUCCUAGUAGGGUGAGCUUGUAGCUGUAGAAGGUGAUGUUAAUGUGAGUUUAUCUAAGGCGGAGAAGUCUAUGGAUAGUUCUAGUAGUGCCUUUUCCAAAUCUUCCAAAGGUGUUGCUACUACAAAUCUACCUAAAAAGGGGAAGACCCAAGGCGAUAGAGUGUCCUAAAUCCUGGAAGUAAUAUAUUUAUGGAGAAUCCCUAAACAACAAGGGGAACCAAAAGUGAAGCAUCCAAGAAGGGAUACGCAUGCUACUUGGGGCACUAUAGAGGGAUUUAGAGUUAAAUCGGGAGUUCUAAAAAUAUAUGCUCGGCUGGAUGACUAAGCAGGUGGGAAACUUUAGGGCCUAUUCGGUGAGAGAUUUUUAUGCCAACUAUAUAGUGAGGAUUGAGAGCAUGAAUUUUUAUGAGAAGGAUAAAGAUAUGAAGAAGUAUCCCAUACUUGAUAUGGCGUUAGUGCAAGGGAAUAGAUUGAUAUCUUGUGAAGGCUAAUUCUAAAGCCUUUUUUGGCAAUGAUUUUGAGGUACCAUUUGAGUCUCUGGAGUAUGAUUAUGACACGACCCAAACUAGGGCCUAGUCGUGUCGGGUGCCUCAAGCCCAACCAGGGUUGGAGAGCAUCCCCAAUACCCAACCACAAUCACCCUACACCCAAUGUUUGAUAAUUUUUGAAUGUACAUAUAUAACAUAAAAAAAAUGAAAUAGUCAUAAAUCAAAUACAUUUAAUCGGUCUCUACCCCAAUACCAAUACCAAUACCAAUGCCAAGGCUGACAUCAUUGCCGACAGCGCCCAUACCAACCCAAAGUAGUCCCACAAAGCCUAUAUCUGAAAGUAAAACAAUACUCAGUCGGGAUAUGCCCCCGACUAUAGCCAAAACCAAAGUCUAAGAAAUAACCAAAGUAUGUAGAGAAAUCCAUAACAUGAAAUGGAGCCUUCCGGAGUAUGGAAGCUCACCACUUCAUCCCGACACAAAUUGUCCCCAAAUCCAAUCACUGAGCAGGAGGAGUAGUAUGACCAGUUCCUGCAUCGUGUAGGAAUACAACGCCUGAAGAUUGGUUAGCAGGUGAACGCUAGCAUGUACUCAGGAUAAGGAUAAGAUAAUGUCAAUAUUUAAAACCAAGUAAAUAAUCAUAUACAAUCACAUAAAUGUAUAUAUAUAUAUAUAUAAAAAUCUAUGUCGGGAAAGGGAAUUAGGUUUAGCAUGUAUUUAAAACUUUAACCUAGGUUUGUGUAGCUUUACCAUUAUAAUCUAACCACAGGCUAUAUGGGUCCAGUGUUACCCCCUAACGGGCCCCAGUGUGUGCAGCCGCGUGAACCAGAGAUAUCAUAGGGGUUGGGGAUGCCCGUGUACCCUUCGCCCUCCAUGAUACAUAUAUACAAGUAUAAACUUAGGGGAUUCUCGUGUACCCUACAAAUACAAGGUUGCCAUGACCAACUCUCAUAUCGACAAAUAAUUGUUUCCAGUGUCCAUCCAUCAGACUCACACCUUCAUGGUAAGUCAUCAAACCCACUAUUAUUGCCCAAUUAAAACAAUUAGCACCCAAUAAAACCACUAAUUCCAUCUAUUAUUAACCAAGGCUAUAAGAAGUGGUAUCGUCAUACCGACUAUAACUUACAAGUAAUGUCCUUAGCCAAUCACAUAGAGGAUUUUUAUGUACCCUGUAAGUUUGAUAGACCCAAAUUAUACCUCUCUUAUGAGAGAUAAAAUGCUCAUUGUCAAAUAUAUAAUCCAACUAGGUUGGAGUCGAAUCCCACAGAAAAUAUCAUGUUCACUAAGUAUUGUGGUUGUUACUAGACUGUUGAUCAAAGGUUUCGAAUUAAAGAGGAGUUUUGGUUUAUAAGUUUUAUCUUGUUAUUUGUAACAGAAAAUGUUCCAGUCAGUUAUUCUUAUUGCAAAUAAUAAUUCAAUAAGAGUAGACAACUAGAGUUACGAUUACCAAGAUGUUCAAGCAUCUAAGGUUGUGAAUUAUUAUGAAUUUCCACUUAAUCACUUCAAUUGCAAAAGUUAUUGAAUCCUAUAAUUUACCCAUUUGUCUCUCAACCUAAAUAAAUAGAUUAUCCUUGUCGCACCCCAUUUUUCUUGCGGAAAGAGGGAUUUGACGUGACCACUCUUUUUGGGAUUGUUUUGAGAGAACAAUGUGAAGAGUCGCCACCUAACGAAUUAAGGUGCAUUAGGACAUCGAUCUAGGCCAACUACGAACCUAUUUUUGUUGUUUUGUUUUAGUUCACCAGAAAUUCAGGUAAGGGUUCAAAUUACAUCAAAAAGAAGGUGUUAGGCACCUUUCGAGGUCCACGAAGAUGGUUCCUGGCCGAAUUUGUAUUUUACAUGGGGAUUCUACAUGUUCAAAUAAGAUCGCUUAUUUCAUUAUUAGUUGAUGCUAACUAAGUGAUAAAAUAGUAAAUAAGUAAAACAUGUUAUUUAAUUAUUUCUAAUUAAUAAAUAUCUAUGUGAUUAAAAUCAAUUAAACAUAGGAGAGAAACAAGCAAGAAGAAAGAAAUGACAUGAGAAUAUUAAAUUAAGAAACAUAAACUAUCCUAAAAAAUAUAGUAUUAAUUAAAUUAAUAAAGUAAACUAUUUUCAGUUUGAAUAAAGCUAUUUGAAGAAAAUGUUUGUCGCUUUUAUAUGAAAGAUGUCAUGAUAUUAUUAAUCGCACCCUUUUACCUUGACAACAAUUAUGAUUGGAGGUCGGUCUUAAGUAAAAAUAACAAUAAUACAAUUUUUAAAAGACAAGUGAAAAUUUGAGUACCAAAAUAUAACACAUAAAAAUAUUUAUAUAUGUACAGAUUUACAUAAUCUUCAAAAAAAACUUUGGCAAGUGAUAUUCCUAAGGACGCAUCGGCUUGAUUUUAAAACAUGAGAAUUAGACCUCAUAAUUCUUUUUACUUACCCGCUAACUAUAAGUUAGGAGAUAGUAUUUAUGUAAUUAAUAAUUUUAAAAAGACAUUGUCCAAUUCAAGUUGCAAAAAGAAAGAAAAAAAGAAGUCAACAAUUAAUGUUGUGUUUUAAAAAUGUUUGCACAAACAAAGUAGGAAAAUUUGUUAAUAUGCUGAAAAUGUUAUUUGAAGACUAAAAAUUAACAUAUAAUUGUUGAGAAUGUGAUUUAAAAUGCUAAAAUGUCAUUUGUGAUAUGUCAAAGCUAUGCCAAAAGUAAAUAAAUAUGUUGUAAGCUAAGUUGACAUAUUCAAACGUGAUUUAACAAGGCAAAAUUAAUUAAACUUCUAAAAGUAUGAUUUCUAGGAUAUUAAAAUAAAUCCUAAAUUAGGUUUGCCCAAGUGAUUUGCAUAAUACGUAAAUCACAUAAACCCCGUCCCCCCAAACAGUCCCAUAAAUAUUAUUACAACAUAUCGUUUGUAAAAUAAUCCUCAUGGACCAAUAAUAAAUGAAAUAAAAGAAAAACUAUGAAGAUCUAGAUUGGAUAGCUCUUAACGACUACAUGUCAACUCUGUCUCAUCUAAAUACUCAUUCUUAACCAGUGAUCACAAAGAAAGCACCAAAACACAUUCCGAAUCUAGAAUACCUUUGGCAACACAUAACUAACCUUUGACAUUGUCAAGAUCCUAAGGAUAUCAGGGAUCCCAGGAAGGCUCACGCCAAAGAGGCUCUGUGACAUGCAAAAAAUAUUUUAGAGUCAUGUACAACAAGCAUGCUAAUGGAGAAGAACAGUUAGAAAAAGAAAAUAUGUCUCAACUAAUAUGAAUACCCAAUAAGAGUCACAGAAAUGCAAAAAAAAAAACAAAUAGGAGGUUCAUGUCGUCAAGCAUUUAAAGUAUGCAAAUCCAAGUAAAAAUCAUAACCACAUAGUGUAAAAGAAACUAAUGCAUCAUUGAAGAAAAUUAACCUAUUUACAGCAUAAUAACAAAAGAAGAUUGAAAUUUCAAGAGUAGAUAAGAAGUCGUACGAGCAAACAAGAAUUAGCGAUCUCAAAGUAGAAGCAGCAAACAAAAUAUAGCACUAAGUGUAGUGUAGAAUAUUGUAGAAGUGAGAGUAGGAGUGUAUGAGAAGAGGUCUGACAAUUGAAAGAGAGGAUGUUUAUAUAGCAAAAGAGUAGAGAAAAUAAAAGGAAAGAGAAUAUUUGCAAAUUCAAUCAAAUCAACUAAAAAAAAUAAACUGCUCAUAUUUACCUUAAUAAACAAGUCAAAAUAUUAUUCGAUCUUCAAGAGGCCAUAAAAAUAGGGAUACCAAUGGAUACUUCCCAUGUUAAGAAACAUAAUCACAUCAAAUUAGCACAGAAUAGAUCCAAUUAUAAUAGGGGGUAAACAUCUAUUUGCAUAAAAAAAUCCACAUGCUUAAAAAGCAAAAAUCAUAAUACACCCAAAGAACUACUAUACUACUAUAAUUACGCUAGUAAUCCAAUCAACCGGCUCAAAUUUUCGGAGUCAAAAUUAUGAUAGUAGACAAUGAAAUUGCAUUCCUAAGAUGAAAUCUAGGAUUAACGAAAAAUUCAAAAUUAGUCAUUUUACAUAAAAUAAACUUGAAACCAGAAAAACAGAACAACAAUAUAACCACAAAUUUUAAGUUUAAAGAAAAGAGGAGCAGAAUAGAAUUAUAAUUGCAUGUAAAAAUUAAAUAUGAAAUUCAACCUAGGAUGGGUUCAUAAGAACCCAUCAUUUUUUCGGCGAGAUGUGGUGGCAGUGUCAUGGGAUGCACGGAGACACAACAACGGCGGCUGCAAUGAGAAGGCGGGCUGGUUCAUGGGUAGCCGCUGGUCUGCAUGGCUGUUUUAAGGUCGCCACGGCAGUAAAUGGAGCAUCGGAGCUCCAAUUUGGUGGCUUUUGAUGCGGGUAGUGGCGAUGGUGAGGUCCGACUAUCAUUAACAGUGCUUCAUCAGUCAUCACCUCCGGUGAAGCAGCAAUGAUGGGAGGCAGCGCUGAUCGAAGGUGCGGUGGGAUGGAUGGCUCGCUGGUGAGCUGCCGUUGUUUUAUCCGGCAGUGGAGAUGCGUCGGAUCUGGGCCACUGUGGCACUGGGCCUUCACCGGUGUCGACUGGUGUUGUUGUCCGUUCAACGGCACUUAGCCGUCGGAGAGAAAAAUGGAGCAGAGGGGGUUUGGGCUGUAGGCAGUCGCCGGUGGCUGAUGGAUGGCGGCGGCUGGGGAGUUCUAUAGAGAAGGAGGAGAGAUAGAGAGAGAAAGUGGGGAUGGUGUGCAGUUGAUUUGGUGGAAUG